rnacentral:lncRNA from 1 species
AAAAAAGGAACACUCCACGUGUCUACCUUGCACUUCACCGAGUACCGGAUUUCAACUUUUCAAGAGCUCGAUUACAACGGAACGGGCCCCACCCCCUUAAACCCUUUGCGCAACAACACGCCACCGCAUCACGAGUCACUAUAAAACCCCUGCUCCUAUCAACGACCUCCCUUCCAUUUACUUCACCAAUUUUUUCAUCACUCUCCACUGAAACUCUGAAAUCCUGAACAAACAGACGAGUCCACUCCAAAAAUGGACUCGUCAUCUUCUUCCACCUCUUCAACCUCCGCUCUUAACCUAGCCAUGGCCGCCUUGGUCGGCGCCUCCCUCAUGGCCGUCUCCGCCUUCUACAUCCACAAACGCAGCGUCGACCAAGUCAUCGACCGCCUCAUCGAGAUCCGCCGCAAACCGCCGUCUCGCCUCCGCUCUCAAGACGCCGACGACAACGCCGACGAAGAAGAAGAAGAAGACGAUUACGUCGAAGAAGACGAGCAGCAAGACCAGCGGCGAGGCUUCGGCUCUGACCGCGACGCCGUCACUGAUAAUCGCAAAACGGCGCCGUCCAGGUCGUUGGACGAGAAAUCGAUUCACUAUUACAGAAUCUCGUCCUCGCUGCCGAAUGCGGAUAUGAGGAGCGGCGGUUUGAUCGACGAGGACGCCAAGUUUGAUCCUCUCUCCAAUUAUCGAGCUCCUCGGUUUUCUUCCUCGGCGGAACGGCUCAAUUUCAUCCCCUCCGGCCUUCCGCCGCUCCGAACUGGUCAAGCAAAUGGUCUGUAUAAUCUGUUUAUUGUUUUCUCGUUUCGAUUUUAUAGUUGCGUUUGGAUUUUAUAGAAUUUUCACUUGUUUAAUCUUUAAUUUUCGAUUUGUAGAGUCUCAGUCCUUGAAUUCCACUACAAGGAUGGCUACGUCUGUGUCUGUUGGUAGGUUGACGACGCCGAGAUCUCACGCCGGACUAGUGGAUGAUUCCGACGAGGAAGGAACUGAGUAUGCAAAUGAAGAUGAUUGUCCUUUCAACUAUGAGAAUGGAGAUGCAAAUGACAAUGUACGUGUGUCUCUGAUACUAGCUCACUGUUCUCGCUAAUUCAUAUGCAUUGUGCUGAUCAGAAAAUGAUCAUUUUGCUUUGUUGUUUUUGUUUUUUUGUUUCAGUCAGUUUACCAAAAUGAAGGUACAAAUGCGAAGGGCUUUGAACGCAAUGGUGCAAAAUAUCUGCUGUUCAUAUAGAAUUCAUCUAUAGUUCUAAAAAAAAACGAAUUCAUCUCUAAAAAAGUUUACUGCUCUUUUGCUAUCUUUACGUUUGAAGAAAAACACACUGUACACUGUAGAAAAUCAUCAGUACAAUAAUUGUCGGCAUUUAUGGCGGAAAUAGUUUACUCUAAUCUUCAUGUUCAAAAGGUCAACGGUCAUAGUUUACUAUAAACUCGGUUGCCUUGCAUGUUUAAAUUUAUAAGUUCAGAGUUUUAUUGGAAGCAAAGCAUUUAGAAUCCGAAUAUUUUGCUAGUAGAUGUAUAGUGAUUGUAAAUUUGAGCUGUCAAACUCUGAUGUAGUGAUGUGUACAAGUAACAACUUCAUGCAAGAGGUAGAUGGAGCUACAGCACAGCUGGGGAGGAGUGACCCUUCUUUUGCAAGAAUUCUUUUGCCACUAAGUGCACCAGUGAAUGGUAAUUUAAUUUCCAACUAUUAGUUACUUCUGCAGGUCUGUUUCUGCUUCAAUGUUUCUUCCAAAUUCCUGUUAUAUCUGCAGUUUUUACUUAUUUUUCUUGUUACUCUUAAAUCCAUUUUGUUUGAAAGUUCUAGCAUAGCUGAUAUUUACAUGGUGAAUGCUAGAUGUUAUGCUUCUGUGAAUUUGAUAUCAAUAUGUUACUCAUAACAUUAUACUAUUGAUGGCUAGAAAUAAAUUGAAGCAUCUUUCUCUUUUUGUCAAAACAAUGUUAUUCAGAGUCAAUAAGCAAAGAGGAUGAAGAAGUACAAAGGAUGAUUCGAGAUUGCUUGGAUCUGCGUAAGAAGUACCUUUACAGGGAAAAUGUUGUUCCAUGGAGGGUAGCCAGGCCAGACUCAUCAGAGAAGAAAAGCAACCCAUUUCAUUUUGAACCUGUUAAACCAUCAGCUGUGAGUAAUUCUCUGCUCAUUUAAAAUAUGCCAAAUUUGUGGGAAUGAAGUUUUCAAGUGACUUGUUUUGUUUAUUAGCUUUUGUUUAAUUUAUUCUGUCUUCCAAAUCUAUCAUGCAGCACUGCUUUAGGAUGGAAGACGGUGUCGUACAUGUUUAUGCACGCGAAAAUGGUAGGAACUGAAACUUAAUUUUGAAGUUGCUUCGGUUUUAGUUAAUUUAAUUAGAAAAUAAUGCUUAUGAGAAACCAUUGUUACCCUUGUAGAAUCUGAAGAGUUGUACCCUGUUGCGAGUGCAACAACAUUUUUCACUGAUCUCCAUUAUCUUCUUAAAGUUGUGUCUAUUGGAAAUGUCCGCUCUGUAUGCCAUCAUAGGUUAAGAUUUCUUGACGAGGUUGGUUCAGUUAACUUUGCCUUAUCUUUCAAAUUUUCUGUUCUAUUUGUGACAUGUCUGGUUAAUGUGCAGAAAUACCGUGUACAUCAUUUAUUAAAUGAGGGGGAGGAGUUUUUAGCUCAGAAGAGUGCACCCCACCGUGAUUUUUACAACAUUAGAAAAGUUGAUACACAUGUGCAUCACUCUGCUUGCAUGAACCAGAAGCAUCUUCUGAACUUUAUCAAGUCAAAGCUUAAAAAAGAACCUGACGAGGUAGAAAACUAUGUUCCUUUUAGUUUGUUUCAGUGAACAUGAUAUGUUACGAUUCAAUCUUUUCAUAUCUCUGUGACUGUUGAAGUUUCUAACUACUAACUAUGAGAUUCAACUCGGAUUGCUAGGUAGUCAUAUUCAGAGAUGGAAAAUAUCUUACACUUAAGGAAGUUUUUAAGAGUUUGGACUUGACAGGGUAAAUAUUGCUCUUCCUGAAACUGUUUAUCUAUGAAUAAUUAAACCUCUCUCUCAUGCACAUUGAUUUUUCUUUAUUUUAGGUAUGAUCUGAAUGUUGACUUAUUGGAUGUUCAUGCGGAUAAGACUACUUUUCAUCGAUUUGACAAGUUCAACCUAAAGUAUAAUCCGUGUGGCCAGAGCAGACUCAGAGAGAUAUUCUUGAAGCAAGACAAUCUAAUCCAAGGUAUGAUCAUUUUGAAAGUUAAACUGUUAAGAUCAGGAUAUCAUACUUGUGCAUAUUCUUGUUGGGUCUUGGUUGAUUUACCUUUGAUAAUCAAUUGUUAUCUUAUAUAGAUUGAAGUGCAUAGCAUUUCAAUCUCUUAAGCUGGACUUGUCUUGUAAAGUUAAUGUUUUAUUUAUGUGUACAAUUGCAGGACGAUUUUUAGCAGAAGUAACAAAGGAAGUUUUGAAAGAUCUCGAAGCCAUGAAAUACCAGGUUUUCCUCUUUAACAUUUAAUAGGAAGAUUUUCUUGCAUUGAUCAUUUAUGCAUGUCUGAUAAUGAAUUUCUCGUUUUGCAGAUGGCAGAGUACAGGAUUUCAGUUUAUGGGAGAAAACAAAGUGAGUGGGAUCAACUGGCUAGUUGGUUUGUUAACAAUGACAUUUAUAGCGAGAAUGUAGUAUGGUUAAUACAGGUAUAUUAAUGCUCUUUUAUUUUGUUCUGGUAGCUGUUCUAUUCUUGGUAGUCAAUGUCUAUCUUCAUUGCUGAGAUCUUCUAUUUGUGACAUUGUUGUUGUACUUGGGAGUUGGUUGGAUUGGUGUAACAUAUUGCAAACAAUUUUUUUUUUCCAGCAUAUAAAACCGGACCUUAUUUAAGUAUAAUGUUUGAGUUUAUAUUGUAUAAACACAUUCCAGGAGAGGUAACAGUAAGGUUGUUUUAUAUUGUGCUUAUAUCAUGUUAGACAUCAGCCAUAAAUCUGUAGUUCUUUCUUUGUUACUCAUGGAUGGAAUUGCAUGAUAUUAUGUUUUUUCUUUCAUGAUAUAUUGCAAGUGACUUUUUCCUUGAAAUCAUUGUCUUGCAUAGUUUCAUUAGCUCUUAUGGUUUUAGUUUUGAAUGACAUUUGCAGCUACCACGGUUAUACAAUAUCUACAAGAAGAUGGGGAUUGUUACCUCUUUCCAGAACAUUUUAGAUAAUGUUUUCAUUCCACUCUUUGAAGUCACGGUGGAUCCAAAUUCACAUCCUCAAUUACAUUUGUUCCUGAAGCAGGUCAGCUAAACAAUCUUAUAGAUCUCUAUUACGUAUUUGGUUGAGAGAAUCAUUUUAGAUCCUGUAGAUGCUUCUUAUUAUUAUGAAGAUGUGUUGGAUUUUUGAUGUCUUAACUUUUGCUAGUACAAAGUCCAUAAGUACUGAUGUGGUUUAUAAAAUUCUAUACCGUAUAGUCUAACAUUAACAUUCGUACAAACAGGUGGUGGGUUUUGACGUUGUAGACGAUGAAAGUAGACCAGAAAGGCGUCCGACGAAACAUAUGCCAACACCAUCUGAAUGGACUAACGAAUUCAAUCCUGCAUAUUCUUACUAUGCUUAUUACUGCUAUGCAAACUUGUACACUCUUAAUAAGGUUUUUCCUUUUAGAGAAUGCUCUUAUUUCCACCCUUGUCAAAAUACAUCUAUAGGUGAUAUAGAAAAUGAUUUUGUUCUUCUUUUCCCUUUAUUUCAGCUUCGUGAGUCAAAAGGAAUGACUACAAUAAAAUUCCGGCCGCACUGUGGAGAGGUUAUUGUCUGCGACCUAAACUCGGUUAUUACAUUUAGAUGAUUUUUAAGAUUGACAAUUUUCAUAUAUCCUAUGCAGGCAGGUGAUGUUGACCAUUUGGCUGCGGGAUUUCUUGUAUGCCAUAAUAUCUCACAUGGUAUCAAUCUUCGGUACUCUCCAGUUCUGCAAUACCUAUAUUACCUGGGGCAGGUUGAUCCCUUUUGACUUUAUUUUUAUCUUUAUGUAAGUUACCCCUUAAGUUUUCAUGUUCUUUAUAUGCUAUUGAACCUUUCCGACUUGUGCUUUAUUGUUGACAAAAUAAUUAUUAACCUCCUUUACAAUGCAGGUGGGACUGCUUAUGUCACCCUUGAGCAAUAAUUCUCUUUUCUUGGAUUACAAGAAAAACCCGUUCCCUGUGUUCUUUCAACGCGGGCUAAAUGUGUCGCUUUCAAGCGAUGAUCCUUUGCUAAUUCAUUUGACAAAAGAAGCGCUGGUGGAAGAAUAUAGCGUUGCAGCACAGGUUUGUCGAUUCACGAUUCUUGUAGCUUUAUAGGUGCUGUUCAUGGUUGGGUAUCUUAUCAAAUCAAGUAUGGUGCAGGUGUGGAAGCUCAGUGCUUGUGACCUCUGUGAGAUUGCUAGAAAUUCGGUAUAUCAUUCUGGAUUUUCACAUGCAGCAAAGGUGGGAAACUUGUGGAAAGAAAAUUCUUUAGUUUUCUUCCUAAUAAAAAUAUGCAUGAUGCAUCUUAAAGACUCAUUGUUGAAAUAAAAUUGUCCAAUUUCAUAUAUGAUCUUGAAAUCUGUAUGAUCCAACUUUACCUCAAGGUAAUUGAUUGCAUGAUUCAACUCCUUGUUCGUGCAGACACAUUGGCUUGGUAGCAAGUAUUUCUUGAGAGGCCCUAAAGGAAAUGAUAUCCAAAAGACAAACGUUCCCAAUUUGAGGAUUGCCUUUCGAGAAACGGCAAGUGUUUAUGGUUUUUAAGCAGCUUUGAAAAUGGUAACAGGGUGUCCCUCUUGUCCCGAUUUUCUAAUUGUGUGCUUGGUUUUGCAGACCUGGAAGGAGGAGAUGCAGUAUAUCUACCACGGAGAAGCUGAGUUUCCAGAAGAAGUUGAUCCAUGAAGGCAGAGGGAAAGAUGCUACUGUUUCCGGAAGAAGUUGAUCCAUGAAGGCAAAGGGAAAGAUGCUACUGUUUCUGGACAUGUUCUAUAGACAAAUAGAACUUGGAAGCUACUUAUUCACCAAAUCAUAUAGAAGUAGAAAUGGCAACUUCAGCAGACAUGUAGCCAGAGCAAUGAGGGCAGAGGCACAUGGCCAAUUUUGUUCGCAUCGACACACGGCUCGGUUUUCUUCACAUCUCUGAAUCCCUAAAUUGUUUUAAGCUUAUAAUAAUAGUUGGUCGAAUAUAUAUUUACGGGUCACGGAACUCUUUGAGUGGACAAAUGCACAUCCAGAAAUUUAAUUUGUUACAGAAUGUUGGUCAUCUUAUCGUGUUAAAUGCGUAUUUCUCAUCCAGUUGGCUUGUGUUUAACAAGUAGUAGUAAAUGUUGUGCCUACAUCCCUACAGCACAAUUGAGCAUCUGGAAGGUGUUCUCAUCAAGCGCACGGUAUCCUGGUGACAGCGAAUGGGCAGAGAAGCGGGGGGACAUCAUCCGUAGUAGUAUUACAAGUAUCCAAUAUAAACUUGCACCAAAUAAGAUCACAGUGACUGUCAAUGCUGCUAAAAGAAUCCCACAGCAAAGCCAAGCGGUGAUCGUCCUCCUUUCUGAUCUGGAACAACUGUGGACUGAAUAAUCGGUAAUCAAUUGCUUCUGGUAAUGGCUGGUAAGCAUGAGGUAUCACGGUUCCAUCAUUCGGGAGACCCUGAACCGGUUCCCCUAGCCAUUGACGCUCUUUAAGAUCAAAAACAUAUAUUCCAGCAACCUCCUCUUCCCGCACCUUCACUUGAACCCAACUCCUUGCCGUUAUCUUGGCUUCUUCGGGUUUAGAUUUGCGUUUGGGACUUCUAGAGCCAAAAGAAAACAAGUAGCGAUCCUCGUAGAGGACCACGCCAGGCAACCAAUCACCCCAGAAGUUGUCAUCAAGCACAUCAUUCUCGUCCCAUUGCCUGCCUCCAAAUCAAAAGUAAGCAUAACGUUGACAUUAUUGACUCCACCUCCUUCGGUAUAGACGCAGUGGCGGAUCCAGCAAUUGGCUCACCUGGGCUUAAGCCUAGGUGAGAUUCUUUGAGGGAAAAAAAAAAAUACUACUUCAUGUAUGGUUGGUGAGCUACCUCACUUCAUAUAUAGCUUAAGGUGUUUUACCUAAGCAUUCUCCUUUGAUCGGUGAGCAAACUUCCUAUCCUACGACAACCAUUAACACUCUCACAUCAUAAUCAAAAGUUUAAAACUAACUCCUACCUUGCCUGUGCACGUCUAUCUCACUACAAUAUGCACAACAAGUGUGCUUGACAGACAUGAAAUUAUCUAGUCGAUCUGUGUUUGUUUCCUUGAUCGGUCUCUCUUCUUUGUGCGCAAAACUGUUAUCAGGGGUGGAAACCACGACGAUUAAGAAGGCUUACUCAGACUCUUAAUAGAAAAUAAGAGCUUUGGUUGAGGGGUGGAAACCACGGCAGUUAAGAAGACUUACUCAGACUAUUACUCAAUAGAAAAUAAGAGCUUUGGUUGAGGUGAUUGGAUUUGCACCAACGUGAACCAUACAUUUGAUACCCCAAUUAGAUGUUCAGCCAGUAGGCCUUAAUCUACUUAAGUUCUAAAUUUUUCAAGAAGUCACUUCGAGGAGCUGAUCUAUAAUCUCUUCUAAGUUUUGAAUCUUCUUGCAGCACCAAAACAUUCACCAUUCCACCACAGAAAUCUGAAGAACCAAGCAUGUUGCCGAUCAUUUCCAGCUCUGUCUCGUUUCGUAAGAUAUGGUUAGUUUUUGUAAAAGUUUCUCGUACAGUCAAGAUUUGGUGAAAUUUUUUUUACGUUGCAAUUAGCCCGGAUGACAAUUUUAUCCUGGAUUCGCCACUGUAUAGACGUAAAGUUUUUUCUUGAUGAUACAAGUCGUGCAUGAUAUAAGAAUCCCUCGGGCCUGUCUUGUGGCGGUAUCGGCAAUUUCUCCCAUUUACCGAUUUCGUCAUCGACACAUGGACGGAAUCGGUAAAUUAUAGGUCUCACCGAAUAAACAUACCCAUCAUGGCCAAAAGCUACUCCUCCCCCGAAUUGAAGGUCUGCAAGUUUCCCACCUCCUAAGAGCCAUUUGUCUACUACCAUAUCCAAAUCUCUCAAAUCUAUAUGACGAUAUCCAAGAGAUUCAUCAUUCAAAUAUGCAAAUACGCAUGUUUUGAUUUUAUUACGAGUCACUUUGUUAAUAAGCGGGAGCGAGGUUUUUGACACAUUGCGUGUAUUUAUAUGUAUUAUGUGUAUGACUAAAAAGUUAAGAUUAGAUGACAGUGUUUCCCACAAUUGAAUAGUUGCGAAGGGCUCUCUCCAUACAAAAUCCUUUAGUUAGUGGAGUAAACUUUUGAUAUAGAUAUGUAACUUUAGAACACGGUGCAAAGAACAACAUGGAAUCUCUCGUAUUGAACUAUAAUUUUGAUUGCAUCGACAUGGCUCUGGUUUUCUAUAGAUCUCAGAUUCUCGAUUUUUUUUUAAAAUUCUAUAGAACUCCUGGAAGACAAAUACCUAAUCGAGAGAUUUAAAUUAUUACAGAAUGUUGGUCACUAUAUAUAUCAUGUUAAAUGCGUAGUCGUUAUCAUCAGAGAAAAAAAAAAACGUAGUUCUAAUACUUCAUUUCUAGAUGACCCAAAGGAACCCAAUGAGGGAGCCCAAAGAUACCAAACAGAAAAAUUACAUUUCUACCCUAAUAGCAUAUAGAUCGGGCACAUACCCUAAAACAUAAAAACCUGAAACUAAACCUCUGCCGCCGCUCCAAGAACUUCUUUCAAUAGAAUCCCUAGAAAGCAGAUCGAGAUUCUCUCCUGUUGAAACUUUCCUAACAUAAUGAACGGCCAUGACCCUCUCUUCUUAGGGUAAGGUAGUUUCAUUAGGACAGAAUCCUAGCUCGAUCCAAACAUACCCAGAAAGCAGAUCCAAACAUUUUAUCACCAAGAGAAAUCCAGCUCAAUGGCCAACGGAAAUCCCUCUCUUAGCCUCCAAGAGAAAUUAACGUUUCAUCAACGUCGUGACAGAUUUCAUGAUCAGUACACUAUCUUAUCCACUCCUUCACCAUGUAGUAAUCCAAAUCUGGAGAAUCUCCGAUACAUACGGUAUCAACCCUACCAAGGACGAGACGGCUUCGGAACCGUUCAAGAAUGCAAAAAGCACUCCGAAGCUGCUAGACACUGGGAGACUCAGAAGAUGUACGACUCAGCAGUUCUCAUACAUCCCCAAGAAUGUAUCCGACACGAAAAAGGAAGGUAUUUGCUGGUCUUCAAUAAAGUUGUCACAGACUUCCAACACUGGAGAGAAGAACAUGAACAAGGCAGAGUCACAGAUGAGGAAAUGUGGGAGAUAUUGAAGAAGAUCGGGAAUAAUCUCAUAUACUUGUCAACUCAGUAUCGACCGCAUGGAAAUUUUAAGGGAGGUAUAGUUAUAACAACUGAAAGUCAACCUUUUUUCUUGAAUUUAAGAGCAAGUCCACGGUGGGAAAAAAAUUCACCCCAAGCUGGAUCCACGUAAGCAAACUAAUCCGGCCCAAAUUUAUGUGCUUCCACCCAUAAAAUGGGUUCUCCCAUUUUCUAGCCCGAGUUGUUUUGUUGGUUAGAAAACUAACCCAGGUGAGAGGAGCAGACUAACCCAGGCGAGAAGCAGCCAGCUUAGCCCAGCCCACACCACGUGGCUGACGUCAGCGCCCUGCCUCUGUUUCUUCGACGCGCCUGCUGCUUGCGUCUCUCCCACGGACGAACAAGCGCCAGCCCGUUGCGCGUGUCCAGCCAUCUUUUGUCGCGACAUGCGAGCUGCGUCUUCCCCACGACACGCGUCGUCACUUGCACGGCUUGACUCGUCUGUUUGAAUGCAACGGUCCACAAAUCUGGGCCAUCCGUUAUGCAAUCUGACGGCUCAUAAUAAGUAGCCGUUGGCUAUUCCAAACAGAUUUAAAAAAAUAAAAUAAAAUAUGACCGUUUGUAAUUAAUUGGGUAAACAAAAAUUUAACGGUAAGAAAAAAAUAUUAAAAAAUUUGUAUAAUCCCCUAUAAAUACCCAUCACAAUUUUACACACUCCCCACCAAUUUCUCUCACACAUCAAAAUUUCAGUUACUUUUUAAAUUCCAUAGCUUUCAUCUUCUAGGUUUUUUCUUUGUUUCAAUCAUGGCCGGAGUUAACACAACUUUGGCGAGAUGGAGUCCGGAGGAAGACCUCCAAUUGUGCAAGUCGUGGAGGUUUAUUAGCCAAGAUUCAAGAAAGGGUAAAGAUCAAAAGAAAGCCGAGCUAUGGGAUAAAGGGAUGUCUACGCAAUGAAGGGAUGUCUACGCAACCAAGUUGUGAUGAAUCUCCUAUCAACUUAGAAAAAGAUGUUGAUGAAGUUGCUCCCGACCCGAAUGUGCGACCUAUAGGAAGAAAGGCUGCAAAGGAAGCACACCGAAAAGGGAAGGCGGCCAAAGAAGAAUCACCUGUUGCAGCUGUUGUCGUGACGCUUGCAAACAGCCAAGCAUCAGUCUUGUCAGCAAGGGAAAAACGAGAUGAAGCAUACGCAAGGCAAUUGCAAGACCAACAACAACGAGAAUAUAUGCGGCUCCAAAUGGAUAUGCGGAAUGAGCAAUUCAAAAUCCAAGAGAGGGAAGAGCGUAUCAUGGAGAUGAAUCCAAGCACUAUGUCACCAGGGCCUAGGAAAGAUUAUUGGCUAGCAAAACAAAAGGCGAUAGCGGAGACACAAGCAAAUUUGUCGGGGUCUUUCCCCGGAGGAUAUCCCCAACCAUCUUUCCCCGGAGGAUAUCCCCAAACACCCUAUCCUGGUGGGUGUUACCAACCAUCUUUUCCCGGUUACUAUUAUCCCCAACCACCUUCCACCGAUGAAUCUACAAACCCCAUUGAUGACAAUGAUCCUUCAAACACCAAUUUCUUUUGUAAUGAGGAUAAUAAUCCCGAUAAUUAGAUAGUUAUUAGCAAAUUUCAAAUUAUUGUAAUUUUUUCCCCUAGGUUUGGCCUGUCAAUUAAAUGUCAUGGAAUAAAAAAAUUAAUUUCAUUAAGUCAUAUUGUUUAAUUACUAUUUAUUUACAACUAAAAUUCUUAUUCACACUUAAAAAUCAUUUUUUUAAUUCAAUAAACAGUCACUGCCACGUGACAGCAAUCUCACAUUUUAAACGGGUGGAAACUGCUAUCUGGUCACAGUGACCCAGAGUGACCCAGAUUACUGUGUUCAUUCUAACCCAACGGGUGAACUUGCUCUAAGUGAGAAAAAAGACCCAAGCCUUUUUGAGAGAGUGAUAUCAAUGCCUUACACGAAAUUCUCGAAAAAGUGGAAGAGAAGAUGCUAGAAGGCUCCGGGAUUAGAAACCGUGUUAAGAGGUGGAAAUCAUUUCUGUCCACAUCUUGUUUGGAUGUUAAACCAGGCGACCUCCCAUUAAAUUCAAAAAUCUCUCCUCUCUAUUGUCGCACCCAUGUAAAAUUGGUGUUCAAUUAUCCAAUUGUGUGGGAUUUUGAGAACAAGCGCCGGUUCCUGGCAAAUAUGUAUAUGCUGUGCAGAGACCUCUCUGUAGCCCACAAUUUGUUGAAGAAGGAAGAAUUUAGAAGCCAUCUUUGUGGUUGUGCUGACUAUUCUAAUUGGCCUGCCAAGCUGCCCAGCGGAGUUAGUGUUCUAAAAGAAGUUUACCAAUUUGGUAGUAGUAAGGGCCAAUACACAUCAGUGGAAUCCAUCGUUAUCUUUGCAGACGAUUGUGUAAGACACCAUUAUCAGAGCACACAAAGGUAUAAUAAACCUGGACCUACCGUAACACUGGUAAGCUCUCCGUUUAAUCAGUACUUUUGAUUUGGUAUCCUUUAUUUUAUGUUAAUAAAUUUGUUCUGAUUUAUCAUUUGUUUUCGCAGCCAGAGGUUAAAUCAAGUGAUAUCUUUGAUGAGUUGUAUACACUUCCCCUAUUUGAUUGAAGAUAUUUAUGAAGCAUUUCACAAGGCCUUGGCAGCUGGCUACUUCCACCCCGCAUUCUCUGUUGACAAUAUGUUGACCGGAACACUAUAAGGUGACUGAAAUUCUGUGUUGCUAUUUCUACUUGCGGUGUCUAUAUUAUGAUUGACAAUUUGGAUUGAUUUUUCUGUUCAACUAUAUAUACUUUUUCUUUGCAGAUUCUCAAGAGUGUCACUCAAAUCCGGCUAAUCGACAACCAGUAAGUAGAUUACGUUAGUUUAAUUGAAUAUGCCUGGGAAUUUAGGUUUAAGUAUAAGCCAAAACUUUGUUGUCAGUUGAAUGAUGCAAGGGAAAGAGCUUCUUUGAACAUGCUUUUGAACCUUAUGAUGUAUGGUUUUGAACCUUAUGUAAUUGUAUGAAAUGCAAAUUUCAAAGAAAAGGACUACCUGUUGUACUUUUUUCAUUCUUCAAAUGGACUGUGCCUCACUUUUGCUAUAAAUGUUCUCUAAUAUGCACAAGUAUGAUAUUAACAGUUUUAACUUUCAAAAUGAUCAUACCUUGGAUUAGAUUGUCUUGCUUCAAGAAUAUCUCUCUGAGUCUGCUCUGGCCACACGGAUUAUACUUUAGGUUGAACUUGUCAAAUCGAUGAAAAGUAGUCUUAUCCGCAUGAACGUCCAAUAAGUCAACAUUCAGAUCAUACCUAAAAUAAGGAAAACUAUUAAUAGAUAAACAGUUUCAGGAAGAGCAAUAUUUACCCUGUCAAGUCCAAACUCUUAAAAACUUCCUCAAGUGUAAGAUAUUUUCCAUCUCUGAAUAUGACUACCUGGCAAUCCAAGUUGAUUCUCAUAGUUAGUAGUUAGAAACUUCAACAGUCACAGAGAUAUGAAAAGAUUGAAUCUGUAACAUAUCAAGUUCACUGAAACAAACUAAAAGGAACAUGGUUUUCUACCUCAUCAGGUCAGGUUCUUUUUUAAGCUUUGACUUGAUAAAGUUCAGAAGAUGCUUCUGGUUCAUGCAAGCAGAGUGAUGCACGUGUAUCAACUCUCCGUGUGUAGUUUAUCGAACUAGAUUCUUCAAAUUUGAAAGAGAAAGAUGGAUACCAUGAUUUUCAAAAGUAGCGAUCGCAACAAGAGCGACUGAACAAGAUCGAGAUCCAGUAUGCAGAGAUGCAAAACAGAACAAAAUAGGGGGAUUUUGGAAAACGAAACGAAAUAUGAUCAAGGCAAAAUGCACUUCUUUCAAAUUGUACAUCACCAACGCACAUCUGAUGUGCAAAUAGAUAAAUAUUAUUUUGGAAAAAGCCCUAAACAAAUUACUAGUAAAUGCUGUGCUUACAUCCCUACAGAAGAAUUGAUGACAUGGAAGGUGUUCUCAUCAAGCGGACAGAAUCCUCGUGACAGCGAAUUAGCAGAGAAGCGGGGGUUAUUACUAGUACCAGUAUCACAUACAUUGAGCGUGAACUUACACCAAAUAAGUUUACAGAUUUUAGUCAUGCCAACAUCCCACAGCAAAGCCAAGCGGUGGUCGUCCUCGUCCUUUCUGAUCUGGAACAACCGUGGAAACCAAUCUCGGCAAUCAACUGAUGCUCCUGGUAAUGGCCGAUAAGCAUGAGGCAUCACCUUCCCGUCAUUCGGGAGACCCUUAACUGGUUCUGGUAGCCAUUGACCCUUUUCAAUAUCAAAAACAUAUAUUCCAGGAACCACCUCAUCCCGCAGUACAACCUCCCUCCACCCUAUUAUCUUGGCUUCUUCUUCUUCUCCCGGUUUUGGUUUCCGUUUUGGACUCCUGGUGCCAAAAGAAAACAAGUAGCGAUCGUUGAAGAGUACCGCGCCAGGAGACCAAUUACCCCACAAGUUGUCAUCAAGCGCAUCCUCGUCCCACUUUUGUGACUCCAAAUCAUACGAGAGCAUGACAUGGGGAUGGUAGGCUCCACCCCGUAAAGAGUAGACGUAUAGUUUUUUCUUAGUAAGACCAAGAAGACGUAGCCUAUGUAAUAAUCCCUUGGGCCUGGGGUUGGCACCUUGUGGCGGUACCGGCAACUUCUCCAAUGUCAUGUCUACUCCGGGACGGAAUCGGUAGACUGUAGGUCCAACACAAUAAGCAUAACCAUCAUGGCCAAGAGCUACUCCUCCCCCAAAUUGAGCGUCUACAAGUUUCCCACCUCCUAAGAGCCAUUCGUCUACUCCCAUAUCCAAAUUACUCAAGUCUAUGUGACGAAAUCCAACAGAUUCAUCUUGCAUAUGCUUGAGUGUAUACCCAUCUCCACCAAUCAGAUACGCACAGGAAUUUACAACAGCAAGGUUGUUAGUAGGCGAAAAUGAAUCGGGAAGAGGGGAGUCGUCUGACUCUAUCUGUUUCAGAUUCACAUCCAAUCACCUCAUUGGCAGAUGAUAGGGCUGAUUCCAUCAGCGACUUCUCCUCAAUCAAAUACCAAAAAAUCCUUCAAGAAUCCUGCUACCCUUACGUAGAUUGGCCUGUCCUUUAGGCUUUCUCCAGCCAGUGCGACUGCGCCUAUAGUCAUGGUCCCUUUGAUUCUUCUAACGUAAGAUUUUGUUUUCUUCUUUUCUGAGAGAUGGAGGCUUUUGUUUUCUCUGAGAGAGAGAUGGAGGCGUUAGGGAUUCAUCCUACUCUCUUUUAUAGGGAUUUGGGGGCAAUCUUAUUCCUAUUCCUUUUCUUAUUCCUUAUCCCGUUUUCUUUUGGACUCAAUUUGGAGAAUUUUUUAUUUUUAUUUAUUUAUUUUUUUGUUUAAGGAAAGAUAUACAAGUAUCUUAUAUUUCAUCAAAAUUUCUUUUUCCCUCUCGGACGUGAUAUUUCGAUUAUUUCCUUUCCUAAAAAUCAAUUAUUUCGAUAUUGAAAAGAUUCUUCUCCAAAUCUAACCAAUAAACAGAUUAUUCUCCCGAACUAACAUUUUCAAAAAUGAUUAUUCUAAUUUGUUUUCAUUUGCUUCAAUAUGAAAAAUUUGUGUGUUCUUUUGUCCAGGUACGAGCAGCUUUUACAACAAGGAAAACUUUCAGAGGUAAAAUUCGCAUUUCUCUAUAGUCUAAUUUGAGCUGUUAGAUUUCAAUUGCCAAGUUUCCAGUCGUUUAAUUUUUGGUUUUGCAUGGCUUGAUUUAUUGUUCAUCAGCAAAAUGUGGAAUUAGGAUUGAAAGUUUGCAAUUCCGUUCAUAUGUAAAGCUCAGUAAUGAAUUGUAUUUGUACCCAAGUCUACAACUUUAUGAAUGCUAAAACAGCUGUCACUUUUUUUUUUUGAAAGCCGGCUUCCACAUGAAGCUUUAUUUUGCUGUAUGUGUGUUGUUAAUUAACAUGAUUUGAUCCGUAUUUAUGCGUCAUGUUUGACGAUGUCUAAUUGUCGUUGUGUUUUAUAGUUGCUGGGCAUAAGAAGAGCACUGAAGUGGAAAGCAAUGAUACUGAUGAUGAUUGAUGAACAACCUACUGAUAGUUAAGGAACCAGUUGUCAAGGAUACUCGACCUGUUUGAGGGUAAAUUUACACCCUCUAGAUUUGUAGCGUAUCGAACAAGUUAUGUGGUUCGUCGUGGAUAUGAUUGAGUAUCUUUGAAGAUAUCGUUAUUGAGGCUAAACCAAGCCUACUUGGAGAUCAAGCCAUUUUGGUGUAAAUAUGGGAUAUUAUCGAUAUAUCACGGAUCCGGGGUAGUUAAUGGAGGAUUGUUUGGUUACCAAGAUUGAGUUAGAAUAAAGGAUUUGCAUUCAAGGAGUCUUAGACGUGUGCUAUGCUAGUAAGGAAGGUUUUGUUACCUUUGUGAUUAAGGAAGAUAUAUGGUUUUAUCUAAGAAGGAAGUUAAUCAUCCUUGAUUCUUUGUUUCUCAAGAGAAGCCUAAUACGUGCAUGAUCUUUGGUCAUAUGAGGAUUAUAUUCCUUAAUUGCGCUUGAAUGCAUAAAGGUGAUAUACAUGCACGUCCGAGUUGGAAGAGUCAUAAAGCAAUCUCUUUGCGUAGAAGAUGACAUCGAGAAAAUCUUCAAGAAUUAUGUAUUGAGGUAAAUAUCUUUACCUAGACUUCGUAUCUAGUCUGAUAUGCGAAGCGAUACCUGCGGUUCAAUUCAGUAGAUAUAUUUCUUUUCCAUUGGGUAAUUAUUGGCGGAAGAUUUGUAGGAUAUCUCAAAGAUAUUGUGUCAGAGGGCUCGGUUAGGAAAAUAUAUUUCUAGAUUCAAUUAGAUGUUGGAUUGUUUCAGAGACAAGUCAUUCGCAAACCCUAGCCACCCAAUUUCAUAUAAGGAGGUCAAGGCGAAUGAGAAUAAACCCCGACAAUUCAACAAAAUUCUGCAUCACUGCAAAUUGGACGCCUCCCCAGGAGCACCUAAUUUACCAAAAAAGCCUCUCCAAGGAGCACCACCAAAGCCUCAUUGCGAGCAAAUCCCGCUUCACUCACCAAGCCUCAUCGCGAGCAAAAAGUCCACCCCCAGUUCAUAAAGCCUCAUUGCGAGCAAAAGUCCGCCCCAUUGUUAAGGAGAAAUCCUUAGCAAAUAUCCUUUUAUUUUUAUUUGUCACUAAAGUAAAUCCUAAGGAUCCGUCCUAGGUCGUUGUGAAGGUCGUUGUGAAGAGCCUCAGCAGCAAGACCGACCGUUCAUGCUCACAGUUGUUUGAAAGAAGUCAAGAGAAGUGCGCGAACAAACAAGAUCAAGACAGGCACACUUUCUUAAGGUGUUGGCACGCUCGCACCAGACGGUUGUUCGAAGGACCUGAAAAAUCCACCCCAAACAUUUUGGCAUGCCCGUCAGCGGGACACAUCAGUGGCAAAAUUGUGACUGACAACAUCUAUAGUAAAGAAUGUCCUUAGUGUUCCAUGUCGGAACAUUCGCACUGCAAACCUCACAAUCCUUUGAGGUGGGUUGACUAUCGAGCUAGUUAACCAGUGUUUCGGUAUAGAAACGAUGACCGGAGCAAUCUUUUGAGGUGCAAAGGGUUGACUAUCGAGCUAGUUAACAACAUUUCGGUAUAGAAAUGAUGAUCGGAGGGUCUGGAGUCAAGAAACCUGUUUCUCAAGUGAAGUUUCUUGAUGCACUGGAAAAGAUACACAGACCUAAAAUAGGUAACUACAAGAAGCAUAUGGGUUGGAGCUGCUAGAAUUGCCGAACGUAAUAAUCGGGCUGACUAGUUUUGGGAUAAAACAGGUGAACAUGCUGAGAAAAUCACAGAUCUUACAGAGGUGACUACGAAGCCAAAGACGUUUUUUGUGUCCGAGAGCCGCAGUGAACCCCAUAUUUGGAGAAAGCAACAUGAAGCCACUAAGGUAGACUGGUUGGCUUCGAAUAAAGCUUUACGGUCUAGCGUAAAGCUUUCACAUGAAAUCUUCCCCCUAAAAAAAUUGAAGAAGCCCAGGAAAACGAAAAUUACAUCACGAUUUAGAUUGUAUCUCGAUGAAACAAUACAUCAAUGAAAAGUUAGUCAGAUAAGCUUAGCAAUUUUUUUAGAUAAACAAAACAGGCCAAAACUCAUCUUUCUUAAAAAAUGAAAGAAAAGUACGUCCAUUUUAUUGUAUAAGUUAAAAAAACCUGUUACGAAAAAAAAAGAGCUGCAAAACAGCGAAGAGGUUUUACAACGUCAAGAAGUAGAGCCUACAGCUGAAAAGCAUAUUUUUGCCAAAGAGGUUGAAUCACCUUGUGACCGAUCUAGUGGUGAAAGCUUUUUUCUAGACGAGUCUGCGUUGGAGAGAACCGAUUUGCCAACUUAUGGUGAAUCCCAAACGGAGCAUGAACGUGAAGAAGAUAUCCAACAAAGCUGUUCGAACGAAGAAGUCGUUAUGUUCAUAGACGAAGAUGUAUACAUGGACACCGGCCAGAGACAUGGAGGGCAAACAAUUGAUGACGCCUCUGCCAAUAUUCAGCUUCUUGCCGAUCAGACACAAGUUCAUUUUAAAUACCAGGCGAAGCUGGAUGAUCAAUUUGCUGUUCAUAGCGAAGGAAAGCAUGUAGAAGUACCGAAUGAUCAAGCUACUGGACGUGUUCAAAAGGAUGAGCAGAAUCAUGGUCAACAUGUCCAAUCACAUCAGCAAUCAAGUUCCAAGCCAAUUUGUGGCAUUAUUAACCAAUGUGGGUUAAGUUCAUUUCUUGUUACUACUGUACGGGUCCAAGAAAGUGGUCAAGAUCAUGACCAAUGUAAUUACAAGUUGAGAUUUAACCCCUUUAAGCCAAUUCGUGGCUCUGCCAAUGACCCUAACUUGAGGUUCUGUAUGAAGUAUUCAAAACCAAAUUGUGGUUUUGAUAAAAAUUAUAUUCAUGAUCCAUCUUCUGACCAGAGCAAUUCUAAUGGCCAAACUAUAUGUUAUGAUGGUGAUUUUGAGUGUCUUCAGUACCUAGUAAGUUUGGCUUGCAACGUUCAGACUCUAACCUUUCCAGGGAAGGAGUUCCAUGACGAUGGUACCUCACAUACAUCUCGCCGUGAUGCUUACAACCUCUACAGGGGCCCAUUCAUCUUCGGCGGAUGUAAGUUCAAAUACAAAGAAGUUGAUCUGCUGGCUUGUAGUUAUUAUGCUCCAAAGUUCCUGGAGCAGAAAUUUUUUUAUGAUGAUACUGGCCAAGCUUUGCAGACAACACAUGAUGUUUACAGUUUCGAUAUGCCUAUCUUUGAGGCAGGGACUUACUCACCAUUCGGUAGUGAUUAUGAUUAUGAUUUUAACAUGGAGCCGAUCUACGAUGAAUACGAUAUGAUAGUUGGCGACAAGGCUGAUCUCUACUCCAUGCCAUCCGUAAAGGUGCAAUUGAAGAUUAUGCUUUGUCAAGGGGCAAAGAUGCAUGGGGGGCUAACCGACAUGCCCUACAAGCAGCCUCUUCUAAAUUUUCAAGUGAGUGACACAAAGCAUCUCUGCUCAACACUUGGAAGUUCUCGCAAGAGAGAGACUCAUUCCGCGAAUGUCAACAUGUCAAGACUUGGAGUGAAGCAUUGGUGGCCUCCCCCGUGGCCAUACGAAGGGUAACUAACCAUGUUGAGUUUCCUUCUUUCCUUUGCUUUUAGCUUUGCCAUUUAGUUUUUCGUUUUAGUUCUUGCAUUGAAAAGAGAAAAUACAAAAAGAGAUUAUGAGUUUUGCUGAAAUGCAAAACAACCUUCGUACCUAUCAGAGGUUCGAUCUGUUUAUCAUAUAAUUAGAGGCCUAUAUCUGAGGCCUUGGAUAUAAGAGACUGUCAAUGUGUCUUAAUGUUGCAGCCAUAGUACCAAUGAAGUUCAAGCCACAGCAGAAAAGAAGACAAGUUUGCAAUUCUGCAAAUUACAGCAGCCUCUACUGUGCGGCAAAUUCGCGGAUUAAACUGGGAAGAUCUAGGAGGAACCAGCGAGCACUCUUAAUAUGCAUGGCAAUCCCUGUGAGUCUACUUUCCAGCAAAAUUUACGGUUUGCAAUUCCGACGUUCCACGAGAAAGUUAUGUCAGUUUUAGUACCAGAAGGUCAGAAUGCACCAAAAUCAGCAUCAUGUGUUUGUUCAUGACCUUUGGAGCUUCUAGCAAGGUACCUUUGGCUCGGCCAAUGCGUAUUGGUUUUGUUCUCUAUACUUGCGUGCAUACUUGGGGGGCUUGAGACUCAAGUUUUGCUACCCUUCAUUCGCUCAAUUUCGGACACCAAAACUUGGGGGCACAUAUGGGUAGACAUCAGGCUGUUGGGUUUCACGCAGCAGAUCGGUCAACAAGAUACAAUAUCGAGAAUGCAACUAUAAUGGGAAAAACAAAUGCACACAACAACACAAGAUUUAACGUGGUUCCCUCACUCUUUGAGGUACAUCCAUGGGGCGUGAUCCGAUCUUUCUUUACUAUUGAGAAUAAUGAGAACUAAAUACAAGGUGUUUCGCUCAAGUUUAUAACCCAAACCCGAACCCUUGUACACCCCUCUCAACUCACACUCUCAAUACUCAGUAAAGCUAAGUCUCUUACAACACUUACAAGAGAAUGAAAUUCUCUCUAAAUAAGAGACUACACAACUCGGACCACACUGCAAAAUGCAAAGGUUUCAUGGCUAUUUAUAGCCAAAUCCUUCUCUCUCAACAUGCAUAAACCAUGCAAAGAAGAAAAGGCAAGUCUUGCUUUUCCUUCUUUCCCGUUCAAUGUUUCUACACCAAUAGUCUCAAACUAUUACCAAUAGUUCUCAACUAUUGAGUUCUCUUCAUGCAUGUUCUCUACUCUUUCUAUAUGAAUACCAAGAACAAUAGUGCACAAUAGUAGGCUUGUUCCCUUAACUUCAACUAUGGUUGCACCACCCAUUCAUUGUGUUAUGGAGCUAGAUUCCCAUGCAUUUACCUUGUGCAUAUUGCAGCCUUUUUCUUCCGUUCAAACAAUACUGCACCUACUAGCAAACAUGACAUUAGUUUGAGCCACAUCUCAGCAUCCACCUUGGCGAAAACUUAAUGACAUCAACCUGAAACAUCAAUUAUUGCAUCUAUAUUUAGAUGCUCAUCCCCACGCCCUGGGAUGCUCCAUCCAACCCCCCCCCCCCCNNNNNNNNNNNNNNNNNNNNNCCCCUCCCUCUCUCUCUCUCUCUCUCGCCACCGUGUUUUCACAGCUUCUUGAAUCAAUUAAAACCACACAUUUCCUUCCAUAAGUAGUACAAUGAGUAUGGAAAAUAUUUGUUCGCAGCCAAUGAUCUUCCCCUUGUGACUUUGGUGCUGCCAAAACUCUUCUAAUAACAAGGCUCUCAGCUCCCCUAUCAGGUCCACACACUUCUUCAAGAAUUUCUCCCUCCUCAUCAGUGUCAUAAAUUGGCAAGUCCUCAUAUUCUUCAUUGAUCAUGUUCAGACGUGCUUCUUUAUUUUUCUUUGGACAUUCAUAGGCCAUGUGACCCUCCAAACCACACCGAAAACAAUUGACAUCUUUUUUCUCACAGCCUCGCGAGCUAUUAUCCACGUUCUAUCGACGCUUUAUAUGAAAUUUCAGUGCCAUAAUUGCUCCUCUAACAGAUUUUAUGAAAGCCAGUCAAUUCGCUUGGACAAAAUUUGCUGAAGAUUGCUUCAACUUAAUUAAGCAGAGGCUUACUGCAACACCAAUACUGGCAUUACCGAAUUUUGAUGAAGUGUUUGAAGUGGAAUGUGAUGCUUCUCAUGUGGGAAUCGGGGCUGUUUUAAGUCAGAAAGGACGUCCAAUUGCCUUCUUUAGUGAGAAGUUAAAUGACGCCAAUAGGUGUUAUUCCACUUAUGAUGUGGAGUUUUAUGCAAUUGUGCAAUCCUUGAGAUUCUGGCAACACUACUUAAUUCAUAACGAGUUCGUAUUAUAUUCUGAUCAUGAAGCACUUCGGUUCCUCACUGCUCAAAAGAAGCUCAAUUCGAUGCGUGCUAAAUGGGUGUCUUUUCUUCAAGAAUAUACAUUUGUUAUCAAGCAUAAGUCUGGUGCAAAGAACAAAGCAGCUGAUGCACUUAGCCGCCGGGUUGUUUGCUUAACACCUUGUCUUAUGAAGUUACUGGGUUUGAUCUACUUCCACAAUACUAUAAUUCUGAUCCAUUCUUUAGCAAAGUUUUGGUUGAGUGUGACGUUGGCCAAAGUAGAGAAUUCAUGUUGCUGAAUGGAUAUUUAUUUAGAGGCAGUCAACUUUGUAUUCCGGAAGGAUCUUUAAGACUUCAAAUAAUCAGUGAGUUGCAUGGGGGAGGCCUAGGUGGGCAUUUUGGAAGAGACAAAACUUUAGCUUUGGUUCAAGAAAAGUACUUCUGGCCGAAGAUGAGACGUGAUGUGGAGAGGUAUGUUAGUAGGUGUAUCAUUUGCCAGCAAGCAAAAGGGGGGAAACAAAAUACUGGCCUUUAUCAACCACUUCCUAUUCCUAGCCAAUCUUGGGAAGACAUUAGCAUGGACUUUGUGUUGGGUUUGCCAAGAACACAGCGGAAAAAUGAUGCGAUUUUCAUGGUUGUAGACCGAUUUUCGAAGAUGGCUCAUUUUAUUCCAUGUAAAGACACCACAGAUGCCUCACAUACAGCUCAUCUUUUCUUCAAGGAAGUUGUUCGCUUGCAUGGUGUGCCUAAAACCAUAACCUCAGAUCGUGAUACGAGAUUCAUGAGCCAUUUUUGGAGAACUCUAUGGAAGCUUAUGGCCACCAGCUUCAAUUUUCCAGCACUUGUCAUCCACAAACUGAUGGACAAACUGAAGUUGUGAAUCACACAUUGGGUAAUCUUCUGAGAUGUCUUGCUAGUGAUAGUCCUCGUCAAUGGGGCUUGGUGAUUCCACAUGCCGAGUUUGCUUACAAUAGUUCCAAGAAUCGUUCCACUCACAAGACUCCAUUUGAAAUUGUGUAUGGACGAAGUCCAAGUCAUAUAUUGGAUCGUGUUCCUAUUCCUAAUAUUGCCAAGAGUAGCAUGGAGGCGAAAGAACUCAGUAGUCAUAUUCGUGAAAUUCAAGAAAAAGUUCGAAUGAAUCUCGAAGGAGCAUAUGACAAUUACAAAAGAAAUGUUGAUGCACAUAGACGCCAUGUUGAAUCCCAAGAAGGUGAUUUGGUGAUGGCAUAUUUGAGAAAGGAAAGAUUCCCAGCUGGUACUUAUCACAAGCUGAAAAAGAAGAAGAUUGGUCCUUGUCGAGUCUUGAAGAAGCUUGGACCUAACGCUUACAAGCUUGAGCUGCCAGCAAGCCUGAACAUCAGUUUUCAACAUUUCUGAUCUGUAUCCUCUUCAUGGUGAGCCAGAUUCAGUUCCUACACCUCCUCAAGACAUGGACCUCUCCUCUACACCUAAGGAGACUAACUCACUGGAGGUUCUUGAUAGCAGAUCCAUUUCGACUCGUCGAGGUACUUACACACAAUAUUUAGUUCAUUGGAAGAAUUUGCCUAAGUUUGAAGCUAUAUGGAUUACUGAAAAAGAUUUGAAGGAGCUUGAUGAAGUGACAUGGGAACGAGUGGUACAUUCCAAACUCGAGGACGAGUUUUUUCCGGGAAGGGAAGAUUGAUGCAUCAGUUAAGAGUCCAGGUCAAUAUAAUUAAUAUCCAUUGGAAGGGCAAAGUAAUUUAAUUGCUGGUCUAGUCAUGCGUAUAGAAAGUUGUUAAGUCAUCUUUGGUCAUAGUGAGUGUCCUAUUGAAACUUGAAUUCCAAUUAAGUUGCGUCUCCCAUAUAUAUCUUGUAACAUUGGCUUGGGCAGAUUAACGUUAUAGAAAGUUUGCUUCAGAGUAUAUUCUCUAUUUUGUUUGGUGAGUGAUUCCCAAAACCCUCUUUUCUGGUUGAGUGAUUCCCAGAUCAAACACAACCACCCCCAACCCCCCCCCCCCUGUAUACACCUGCAUCACAUCCAAUCUGGCUCAUGCCUAAUUGCCUAUUAGUUAACAACUUUUUGAGUUGUGAUUAGAGUGCAUUUUGAGUUUGGAGCUAAGCCACAAGGAAACAAAAUAUUGACAUUCGCCAGAAGGAAUAUGGAGGACACUCUAAUAUCUUUUGGAGGAAUGAAUACAGAGUUGACGACAGUACAAGAAGACCAUGUUUAUGGUUUGGCAAAGCAUCAAUGCAAUAGUGCGAAUCUAUUUGUGACUCAUCUCACAGGGAGCUUGUAGUUCUCAAUCAUGGAGCCAAAUUAACGCAAGCAUACUGAAGUAAGUUCAACUCUGCACAGUCAGCUCAAUUCCAUCAGGUACUACAACUGGAAAACUUAUAUCUGAGGCUCAAAGUUCAAGUUUAAUCGGCUUACGCUCAUUCCAACAGUUAACAAGUUAGUGGUUUCCAUUCACCACACCCAAUUAAACUGGGGGGCUACACUAUAUACAUUCUGCCAAUCCGUGGGGAAAAUUUUUGAAACUUUUCUAUUUUUGACUUAAUUUCUUUUCAUUCUUAGAAACCGAUCCCUGCGGUUUUAAAUUUUAUCUCAUGUUUUCUGGGAACUUGCCUAUUAGGCUUAUUAGCAGCAGCAGUUGUCAGGAGACAUGGUUUCUUGAGGGCAGUUUACCGAGCAGUUCCACACUUUCUGGAAGUCCAAGUCAAGCAUGCAUGGCUUCAAAUACGUACUACUAAUUACAAGGUUCAGUUUCAGCUGCUAUAUUGCUCAGAAGACACAAGGGAAGGUCAUGGAAGAGAUCAUGCAAGUCCGCCCCUUCAAUGAGAAAAUCUGGAAAUUUUCAAAGUUGGCUUCCUCUGAGGCAUUUUCGUAGCUCAUUCGCGCCUCCUUGAAAGGAUUCAAUGUCUGUUCUCCCUAUACCAUUUUUGAGCCAUGAUAUGGGAUUACAACUCUGUAAAAUAAUCAUGCCAUUCGCUGCUUUUAAGCAUGAGUUAUGAGCUCCAAAAUUUGUUACCUUAAAACAGCCUUUUUCCAGAAACUUAACUACACUGAGUUUUUAUGGCUUUGUUUCUUUGUCUUAACAUGUACCUAUCACUGAGUUACUGAUUUUUACAUCAACAUGUGAUGUUGUAGAACAUAUAUAGUUCAAUAAUAAUCCAGAGAGACCAUGGGAAGAGCAAGUACAAGCUCAAGAACUCAGCCAAAUGAUAAGUAAAAGCUGGCAAUUUCAGAAUCAGCUUUCUUGGAGCUGUUUUGUGAGAUCAUCCGCGCCAUCUUCCAAGGUUCUUUUUGCUGUUCAUUCUACCAUACAUUCAAGUAUAUAUUUUAUGCUACAUUUUUAGCUCAAGAAAUGAUCAGAAAAAUCAUCCGGGCAUGGCGUAAAUCGUGCCUAAAGUUGGCAUCCUGAACAUCAAAACUCAUCAGCUUUUUCACAUCACAUUUUGUGGAGUUGGUUUCUUGGUUUUCUUGGAAGUUUAUCAUGAAGGAGUUGGUUCAAUUCCGUUGCCACAACAUCAUACAUCAAUGUUCCAUCAUAAAACAACCAGUAAGUGGUUCACAAAAGCUUAUUCGAUUCAUCUGAAGUUGGCUUUAUGAAAUGUGCCUACUUUGAGGCUAAGUUCUAUUCAGUUAUUGUUAAGACCAAUGCCUGUGGCCCUUUUGCUAUGUUUUAAACUUUUAGUCAAGCAUGGGGGCUUCCUCUCUACGUUAAGCCAUUCAACAGAAGCUUAAGGCAUGUUCUGGUCAGAAUGUGUUCCGUCAUCUUCCAAGUUCAGGUAUUUAUGUAGAGUGCAUUGGUUAUCAUGUUGGUGAUUAAUUGUACUUCUAUAUGAAUUGCCUAGCUACUGCUUAUUGUCAUGCAAGCUUCAAAGACCUAUCUCUGAGGUCUGUUUCUACAUUCGCUCGAGUCAAGCCAGUAAGUGGCUUUCGUCGUUACAAAUGCAGCAUUAGGGGCAUAGGUCUUUUCAGUCAAGACACAUGGCUUUUCAUUCAAGACGGUGGGGGGGGGGGGGGGGGGGUAAAUUUGAGGGUAAAUUUACAACCCCUAGAUUUGUAGAGUAUCGAAAAAGUUAUGUGGUUCGUCGUGGAUAUGAUCGAGUAUCUUUGGAGAUGUUCGUUAUAGAGGCUAAACUAAGCCUACUUGGAGAUCAAGCCAUUUUGGUGUAAAUCUGGGAUAUUAUCGAUGUAUCACGGAUCCGGUAGUUAAUGGAGGAUUGUUUGGUUACCAAGAUUGAAUUAGAAUGAAGGAUUUGCAUUCAAGGAGUCCUAGACGUGUGCCAUGCUAGUAAGGAAGGUUUUGUUACCUUUGUGAUUAAGGAAGAUAUAUGGUGUUAUCUAAGAAGGAAGUUAAUCAUCCUUGAUUCUUUGUUUCUCAAGAGAAGCCUAAUACGUGCAUGAUCUUUGGUCAUAUGAGGAUUAUAUUCCUUAAUUGCGCUUGAAUGCAUAAAGGUGAUAUAUAUGCACGUCCGAGUUGGAAGAGUCAUAAAGCAAUCUCUUUGCGUAGAAGAUGACAUCGAGAAGGUCUUCAAGAAUUAUAUAUUGAGGUAAAUAUCUUUACCUAGACUUCGUAUCUAGUCUGAUACGUGAACGGCCGAUACCUGCGGUUCAAUUCAGUAAAUAUAUUUCUUUUCCAUUGGGUAAUUACUGACGAAAGAUUUGCAGGAUAUCUCAAAGAUAUUGUAUCAGAGGGCUCGGUUCCUAGCCGCCCAGUUCCAUAUAUAAGGAGGUCAAGGCGAAUGAGAAAAACCCCCCGACAAGACGCCACUGCAUCACGAGCACUAUAAAACCCUCCCCUCCUAUCGACGACCUCCGUUUCAUUUCAUCACUCUCCACUGCAACUCUGAAAUCUGAAAUCCUGAACAAACAGACGAGUCCACUCCAAAAAUGGACUCGUCAUCUUCACCUUCUUCAGCUACCGCUCUCAACCUAGCCAUGGCCGCCUUGGUCGGCGCCUUCCUCAUACAUUGAUUUUUCUUUAUUUUAGGUAUGAUCUGAAUGUUGACUUAUUGGAUGUUCAUGCACAAGUUCAACCUAAAGUAUAAUCCGUGUGGCCAGAGCAGACUCAGAGAGAUAUUCUUGAAGCAAGACAAUCUAAUCCAAGGUAUGAUCAUUUUGAAAGUUAAACUGUUAAGAUCAGGAUAUCAUACUUGUGCAUAUUCUUGUUGGGUCUUGGUUGAUUUACCUUUGAUAAUCAAUUAUUAUCUUAUAUAGAUUGAAGUGCAUAGCAUUUCAAUCUCUUCAGCUGGACUUGUCUUGUAAAGUUACUGUUUUAUUUAUGUGUACAAUUGCAGGACGAUUUUUAGCAGAAGUAACAAAGGAAGUUUUGAAAGAUCUCGAAGCCAUGAAAUACCAGGUUUUCCUCUUUAACAUUUUAUAGGAAGAUUUGCUUGCAUUGAUCAUUUAUGCAUGUCUGAUAAUGAAUUUCUCUUUUUGCAGAUGGCAGAGUACAGGAUUUCAGUUUAUGGGAGAAAACAAAGUGAGUGGGAUCAACUGGCUAGUUGGUUUGUUAACAAUGACAUUUACAGCGAGAAUGUAGUAUGGUUAAUACAGGUAUAUUAAUGCUCUUUUAUUUUUGUUCUGGUAGCUGUUCUAUUCUUGGUAGUCAAUGUCUAUCUUCAUUGCUGAGAUCUUCUAUUUGUGACAUUGUUGUUGUACUUGGGAGUUGGUUGGAUUGGUGUAAUGUAUUGCAAACAAUUUUUUUUCCAGCAUAUAGAACCGGACCUUAUUUAAGUAUAAUGUUUGAGUUUAUAUUGUAUAAACACAUUCCAGGAGAGGUAACAGUAAGGUUGUUUUAUAUUGUGCUUAUAUCAUGUUAGACAUCAGCCAUAAAUCUGUAGUUCUUUCUUUGUUACUCAUGCAUGGGAUUGCAUGAUAUUGUGUUUUUUCUUUCAUGAUAUAUUGCAAGUGACUUUUUCCUUGAUAUCAUCGUCUUGCAUAGUUUCAUUAGCUCUUAUGGUUUUAGUUUUGAAUGACAUUUGCAGCUACCACGGUUAUACAAUAUCUACAAGAAGAUGGGGAUUGUUACCUCUUUCCAGAACAGUUUAGGAAAUGUUUUCAUUCCACUCUUCGAAGCCACGGUGGAUCCAAAUUCACAUCCUCAAUUACAUUUGUUCCUGAAGCAGGUCAGCUAAACAAUCUUAUAGAUCUGUAUUACAUUUUUGGUUGAGAGAAUCCUUUUAGAUCCUGUAGAUGCUUCUUAUUAUUAUGAAGAUGUGUUGGAUUUUUGAUGUCUCAACUUUUGCUAGUACAAAGUCCAUAAGUACUGAUGUGGUUUAUAAAAUUCUAUACCGUAUAGUCUAACAUUAACAUUCGUUUACAAACAGGUGGUGGGUUUUGACGUUGUAGACGAUGAAAGUAGACCAGAAAGGCGUCCAACGAAACACAUGCCAACACAUCUGAAUGGACUAAUGAAUUCAAUCCUGCAUAUUCUUAUUAUGCUCAUUCCUGCUACGGAAACUUGCACACUCUUAAUAAGGUUUUUCCUUUUAGAGAAUGCUCUUAUUUCCACCUUGUCAAAAUAUAUCUAGGUGAUAUAGAAAAUGAUUUUGUUCUUCUUUUCCCUAAACUCGGUUAUUACAUUUAGAUGAUUUUUAAGACAAUUUUCAUAUAUCCUAUGCAGGCAGGUGAUGUUGACCAUUUGGCUGCGGGAUUUCUUGUAUGCCAUAAUAUCUCACAUGGUAUCAAUCUUCGGUACUCUCCAGUUCUGCAAUACCUAUAUUACCUGGGGCAGGUUGAUCCCUUUUGACUUUAUUUUUAUCUUUUUGUAAGUUACCCCUUAAGUUUUCAUGUUCUUUAUAUGCUAUUGAACCUUUCCGACUUGUGCUUUAUUGUUGACAAAAUAAUUAUUAACCUCCUUUACAAUGCAGGUGGGACUGCUUAUGUCACCCUUGAGCAAUAAUUCUCUUUUCUUGGAUUACAAGAAAAACCCGUUCCCUGUGUUCUUUCAACGCGGGCUAAAUGUGUCGAUUUCAAGCGAUGAUCCUUUGCUAAUUCAUUUGACAAAAGAAGCGCUGGUGGAAGAAUAUAGCGUUGCAGCACAGGUUUGUCGGUUCACGAUUCUUGUAGCUUUAUAGGUGCUGCUCAUGGUUGGGUAUCUUAUCAAAUCAAGUAUGGUGCAGGUGUGGAAGCUCAGUGCUUAUGACCUCUGCGAGAUUGCUAUAAAUUCGGUAUAUCAUUCUGGAUUUUCACAUGCAGCAAAGGUGGGAAACUUGAGAAAGAAAAUUCUUUAGUUUUCUUCCUAAAAAAAUAUGCACCUAAAUGAUCCAUCCUAUAGAAUCAUCAUGGAAAUAAAAGUACGUCCAAUUUCAUAUAUGAUCUUGAAAUCUGUAUGAUCCAACUUUAUUGCAUAAUUCAACUCCUUUUCCUUUUUCGUGCAGACACAUUGGCUUGGUAGCAAGUAUUUCUUGAGAGGCCCUAAAGGAAAUGAUAUCCAAAAGACAAACGUUCCCAAUUUGAGGAUUGCCUUUCGAGAAACGGCAAGUGUUAAUGAUUUUUAAGCAGCUUUGGAAGAGGUUAACAGGGUGCCCCUCUUGUCCCGGUUUUCUAAUUGUGUGCUUGGUUUUGCAGACGUGGAAGGAGGAGAUGCAGUAUAUCUAUCACUGAGAAGCCGAGUUUCCAGAAGAAGUUGAUCCAUGAAGCAAAGGGAAAUAUGCUGCUGUAUCAUGUUCUUCUAAAUACAAGUAUAGAUUGGAAGCUUUGGCGGCAGUUACAUAGGUCUAAGCUGAAGGAGCAUAGGAAAUAUUGUGUGGAUCACCCCGUGGUGAUCGGCAAACUUGCUAAAGUAAAAGCUGAAGUUUUGGGAUCAAUUUGGUAUCAUGUGUGUUGACAUUUGAUGGUGUUCCACUACAUUAAAACACUAUUACAAAGUAAAAGCUGGAAGUUUUGGGAUUGAUGGUUUUUAGAAGUGGCUAUGAUACCACUCUUAGAAAUUGUUAUGUGCGGAAGCUUUUAAUGGUGAUGGGCUAGAACAAAGUGUUUAGGACUUUGGUAUAUAGGAGCUAGACUUGGGAGAAUGAUGUUAUUAGGACAAGGUUAUUAUGACAACUAGUUUAGGAGGAUAGAGGAGAAGGUGUAAACAGAGGAGGACUUAACUUGAAUUGCUUGCUUCUAUUUAUCACUUAUGAGUUCGUUACAUUGUUUGAUUACAUUGCAUACUUAUUUAUACAGGUCACUAACCGACCUUGCAUGGUAGCCACAGACCUUAUGGUCUUCUCUAGAACAUCCUAGACACUAGGUUACAUUUGUUUAAUUACAUGAUUAUUCCAGAAACUUUUGUCUAUCAUCUUAGUUUCUAGAUUAAUCUACCUAGCUCUAGGACUUAAUUACAUCUCAUGAUCCUUCUAGAUUAACUAGCAACACUAGGCUUCUCUUGAUUAAUCUAGAUUUCUCUAGAUUAUUUUUAUCAAUGUGCAUUAUGUUUUAACAGGGAUCAAUUUGGUGUCAUGUGUGUUGACAUGUUGACAUGUGAUGGUGUUCCACUACAAUGAAGCACUAUUACAAACCAGACUUUAAGAACUCAACACGAAGAAGCAAAUUCCAUAACACAAAGAAACAAAUCCGUUUCAGACAAAAAAAAAAAAAAACAAAGGGAACAAACUCCAUACAAAAACCAAAAAGAACCUGUAAGCAAACAACAAAAAGAACAAUCGUACAGGAGAAAUAUAUGAAAGGCAAUCCUAUAAUCGUCCGGUUAAUAUAUCGCCAAUGGGGAACUUGGAAUGGGAGUAGCCACCAAACACCACGGCAUGUAGAAGGCUUCGUAGAUUCGUUCGAUCAAAGAGGGAAAUCGUAUAUAUAAUUCAAUAAGAAUAUUACUUGCCUCCAUCUCCCGCUGUUACAAAAUAAAACAGAAACAUCAUAAAUUGGUAUCAAUUUAUUAAAUAAAUAACAAAAUUUCAAGCAACGAGUAAAGGAGCUUACCAGACGUACACCAUGCACCUUGUUAUAGUUCUGUGCCUCCAUAUGCCGGUGUCUAACGUAAUUGUGUGCGAAGAUCACAAUGGAUGCCGGAGAUAUAACCAUUUGACUGGUAUGUGGGUCGUACACUUCCCUGUAGAUUCCUUUACUAGAACCAAAUAGGCACACUUCGUUGAGAGCAAGGGCUCCGUGAGUCAAUUCUGCUGGCCAAUUCCAGUAGUGCUGUUCUAGAGAUGCUUCAAAUGUUGGAUGGUUCAACAGAUUAUACUGGGAUUGUGGGUCAUCGGUUGUGCAUAGUUGAUAUAUAUUCGCUAGAAAUCUUAGUUUGUUGUUGCUAUCCCAAGAGAUUGGAUAGUUAAAGACAAACUUUAGGUGGUCGCCAGUAUAAUCAUGAGGAAGGAAAGGUGGUGAAGUAUCUGCACAACUCAUGGACAGAAAAGACCACCAAUUCUCAACAUGCUUCUGUGAGUCCUUGUCCCGCAACUUAACUUUUUCAAGAAUUUCAUCACGCAAGACUUUGGCAUCACUUUGGUAUAUGAGUGGUCCUGUUUCACGCCCCAAAUUUAAAAAGAGAGGCUGAAAAUCAGUAGUCACUCCUAUACCUUGAAGCAAAUUACCAUGCGCCCGGUUAACUUCUACCAAAUAUGUCAUGUGUUGCCCAACUUUGCUCAAGAUGUUCCACAUGGCUUCAUCUGUAACUUGUCCCUUGGUAUGUUCAUCCAUCCACACCUUGAUGUGUCUGAUGACCUUUGGAAAAAUCGGCCAGUAUGUUCCUUCCUUUAUCUUCCUACAACGCUGUGGAUGUAUGAAUACUUUUUCAUCGUGCCUCGUUUGAGUGUCCCAAUGUCUUGUAGCUUCAGCAUCGCUGUUGCACACUUGUACAGUUGCAAUACUGUACCUCUCGAUAAAGUCUUGACAUUUGAUGUAUAUGAGAUAUUCGAAACUUUCAAGAGAUUGUCGAGGCCUAAGUUCACGGUAAAAAACUUCCCUCCUUCCCUCCUCUUCUAGCCUUGAUUCAAGCCUUGAUGAAGGAUUCGAAACCAUUAUACCUUUUGGAUUAUGAUCAAAACUCGUAAGCUGUUCUGUUUCGAUUUGGGUUUAAAUAAGAGAGGGACACCCACAAUAUCUCCUAUUUUAUGAAGGUAUUGUGUUCUCGAUUGCAUAUAGGAAUUCCUUGUGAAACGAGGAACUAGGCCAAGACCUUCCAAAAUUUAACAAAAUACUCAAAGAAAACAAAAAUACAUUGUCUUCUUUCUUUUCCCUAAUUUUGAAGUUGCAUCUUGGUCUACUUCUUCCUCUCUUCGAGUUGAUGAUUGAAAAAGUCAUCAACAUACGAAAAUAACAGAAUAUGAAGUACAACUUCAACAACGAGUUCUUUAACUAGGCUCAACUAACAGACCAGCUAGAAUUUAUUAUACUGUACUGCAGCUUUAUGAUUUGUUGUACUUCACAUCUUUCUUCUUUCUAUGCAUUCGUCCUCUUAGUGACAAAGCACUGUUUCACAGAUCACAAUUUGAUAUCAGCAUACCAAUGUAUCAAAUGCACCAAGCAUAGAAAAUUGUUUUCUUACCAAAGCUAACAGCUGAUUUACUUAGACAGGAGAGGGAAAAAGACUGAAAGAAAAUUGUUGUACUUCUUUUGUUUUUGAUAUAUCACAAGUAACAGUUGAUUUAAGUAUAUCCAUAUAGAGCCCCAGACAACAUCUAGAUGGUAAAAAGCAAACAAUGUCUACGACAGACGUCUCACAAUUAUCAUUACCAAUAAAUAUCAAAGCUGGUAACAGAGGGAUCGGUUUCACCUUUAUGGGCCGCUUUUGAUUAUCUUUCACAAAUUGAAGAACAAGCUUUGAUACAACUAUGCAGUUCUUUUUCCUUCAAACUACAACUAGCUUGGAUAUGAAAAUUUGAUACACCAACUGCACCAAAGAACUGUAAAUUGUUAAUACUGUUUCUAGUACAUACCCAAAACUUACAAAGCAAGCAUACUUGUUAUACCCAAAAACUGGACCCCCUCUGCUAUACUCUUUAAUGAAUGAAUGCCAACGUGAGCUAGGAGAUAAUAGGAAGUAUGUUUGAAAGGUCAGUAUGAAUACAAUUAAGGCUUAGCCUCUGCUCCUCUCUUCGAGUUGAUCAAAAAAGUCACCAACAUACGAAAUUAACAGAAUUUGAAGCACAACUUCAACAACGAGUUUCUUUAACUAGGUUCAACCAACAGACUGGCUAGGAUUUCUUACACCGCACUGCAGCCUUAUAAUUUGUUAUACCCUCCGCAUCAUUCCUCUUUUUAUGCAUUAUUCCUCCUAGUGACAGAGGACUAGUAAAGCAACCGACUUUGAAUGCAGCUUGGUAAAUGCAGGUACAGCAAAGACAAAAAUACAACGCACAUGAAGCUUGAUACUAUAUGACAAAUGCUAAUAACCAUAAACUGUUUCAAUAAGAAAGCAUGAAACAAAAAGAGCCAAAUUAUCACUCACAGGAGUGAUCCAGAGCUCCCGGAUUCCACAGACUGAACAAUCCUGGAAACAAUCCCAACCAAAUUUAUUGCUUAUGAGAGUCCUCCUAAAUUUAUCUAAAUGUAUCUUUUCAACUAGCAUAUCCCUCUAGUUUUCAACCCAAAAUUGAAUCAAAACUAGUUGUCAACUAGCAUAAAAGAUUGAUUACACACAUUAAACCUCUCCAAAAAUCCAUUGACACCUUCGUGUCAUGUCUCUUGGAGUAGGUUAUCAAACAAGAUUCUUCAAACUAGAAAGAGAAAGAUGGAUACUAUGAUUUUCAAAGUAGCGACCACAUCAAAAGCAACUGAAAAAGCUCGAGAUCCAGUAUGCAGAGAUGCAAAACAGAACAAAAUAGGGGGAUUUUGGAAAACUAAACAAAACAAAACGAAAUAUGAUCAAGGCAAAAUGCACUUCUUUCGAAUAGUACAUCACCAACGCACGUCUGAUGUGCAUAACUGCAAAUAGAUAAAUAUUAUUUUGGAAAAAGCCCUAAACAAUUUAGCAGUACAUGUUGUGCUUACAUCCCUACAGCAGAAUUGAAGAUCUGGAAGGUUUUCUCAUCAAGCGGACAGAAUCCUGGUGACAGCGAAUUGGCAGAGAAGCGGGGGAUAUCAUUAGUAGUAGUAUUACAUCUAUUGAUCAUGAACUUACACCAAAAAAGUUUACAAGUGUCAGUCAUGCCAACACCAUCCCACAGCAAAGCCAAGCGGUGGUCGUCGUCCUUUCUGAUCUGGAACAACCUUGGAGAGAAAGGUCGGACAUCCAACGCUUCUGCUUCUGGUGAUGGCCGAUAAGCAUGUGGAAGCUCGAUCCCGUCAUUCGAGAGACCCUGAACUGGUUCUGGUAGCCAUUGACGCUCUUCAAGAUCAAAAACAUAUAUUCCAGGAACUAGUUCAUCCCACGCCUCCACUUGAACCCUCCUCCCUAUUCUCCCUAUUAUCUUGGCUUCUUCUUCCGGUGUUUUUGGUUUGCGUUUUGGACUCCUGGUGCCAAAAGAAAACAAGUAGCGAUCCUCGUAGAGCACCGCGCCAGGAGACCAAUUACCCCACAAGUUGUCAUCAAGCACAUCCUCGUCCCACUUUUCUGACUCCAAAUCAUACGAGAGCAUGACAUGGGGACUGUAGGCUCCACCCUGUUGGGAGUAGACGUACAGUUUUUUCUUAGUAAGACCAAGAAGAUGUAGCCUAUGUAAAAAUCCAUUGCGCUUGGGGUUGGGACCUUGUGGCGGUACCGGCAACUUCUCCAAUACUCUGUCUACUCCGGGACGGAAUCGGUAGACUGUAGGUCCAACACAAUAAGCAUAACCAUCAUGGCCAACAGCUACUCCUCCCCGAAAUUGACCGUCUCCAAGUUUCCCACCUCCUAAGAGCCAUUCGUCUAUUCCCAUAUCCAAAUUCCUGAAGUCUAUGUAACGAUAUCCAAGAGAUUCAUCACGCAUAUGCUUGAGUGUAUACCCAUCUCCACCAAUCAGAUAAGCCCAUGAGUUUAAAACAGCAAGAUUGUUAGUAGACGAACCUGAAUCGGGAAGAGGGAGUCGUCUGACUCUAUCUGUUUCGGAUUUACAUCCAAUCACCUCAUCGCCGGAUGAUAGGGCUGAUUCCAUCGACUUCUCCUCAAUCACAUACCAAAAAGUCUUCUCGAAUCCACCUACCCUUACGUAGAUUGGUCUGUCCUUUCCGGCCAGUGCGAUUACGGCUCCUACAGUCAUGGUCCCUUUGUUUCUUUUCCGUCGAGACCUAACCUAAGCUUUUGUUUUCUUCUUUUCUGAGAGAUGGAAGCUUUUGUUUUCUCUGAGAGAUGGAGGCGUUAGGUAUUCAUCCUACUCUCCUUUUUAUAUAACUUAGGACAUAAGCCUGAGGCCCAAAACCAAAAAUAAAAGAAGUAGUAGAACCCUAAGUUCAUUUUCUCGUUUUUAUAUAAGAGUGCCUUUAUGGCUCCAUCUAACAUCUAAACCCUAGGUUGACGGAAAAGAAUCAAGCGGCGAUGACGACUAUAGGAAGCGAUGGAGACAGCGGCAAAGACAGGGCGAUCUACGUAAGGAUAACAGGCCGCGAACAGAAUCGCUGGUACGUGAUCGAGGAGAAAUCAUCGAUGAACUCAUUACUAUCAUUUGCCAAUGAGGUGAUUGGAUGUGAAUCCGAAAGAGAUGUAGUUAGACGACUCCCUCUUCCCGAUUCAGGUCUUUCCAGUAACAACCUUGCUGUUUUGAACUCCCGUAUGUAUCUGAUUGGUGGAGAUUCUUAUACAUAUAGGCAUUUUAGUGGAGAUUUGUAUACAUAUACGAAUUUGGAUGUUGAAUCUCUUGGAUAUCGUUAUAUGGAUCUGAAAUAUUUAGAUUCGAACUUGGAAAUAGAGGAAUGGCGGGCAGGAGGUGGGAAACUUGUAGACCAUCAAUUUGGGGGAGGAGUAGCUGUUGGCCCCGACGGUUAUGUAUAUUCGGUUGGACCUACAGUUUACCGAUUCCAUCCCGAUGUAGGUAAAUGUGAGAAGUUGCCUAUACCGCCACAAGGCGGCAACCCCAUGCCUGACAGAUUAUUACAUAGGGCACGUCUUCUUGGUAUCACUAAGAAAAAACUUUACGUCUAUACCGAAGAAGGUGGAGCCGAUUAUGCCAAUGUCAUGCUUUCUUUUGAUUUGGAGUCAGGCAAGUGGGACGAGGAUGAUGUGCUCGAUGACAACUUCUGGGGUGAUUGGUCUCCCGGCGUGGUGCUACACGACGACCGCUACUUGUUUUCUUUCGGAAUCAGGAAUCCCAAGCUCAAACCCUACUCAUCAGAGGAGGACGAAGAGGUUUCUGGAAUAUAUGUAUUUGAUCUUGAACAGCGUCGAUGGCUACCGGAACCAAUUGAGGGUCUCCCGAGUGAUGGAACCGUGAUUCCUCAAGCUUACAAGCCAUUACCGUGGGAUGUAAUGUAUGGCCGAAGAUUUUCUCCGCAGUUAUUCCAGAUCAGAGAGGACGACGAUCACCACUUGGCUUUGUUGUGGGAUUCUGUUGGCGUGUCUAUCUGUGAUCUUACUUGGUGUAAGUUCAUACUGGAUGUUUGUACUACUACUAGUGAAGAUAUCCCUCGCUUCUAUGCCCAUUCGCUGUCAAGAGGAUUUUGUCUGCUUGAUGAGAAAACCGGCGACUUGCUCAAUUGUGCUGUAGGGAUGUAAGCACCACAAUACCACAUCAUUUACUACUAAUUUGUUUGGGGCCUAGGCUAGGGUUUAUCAGAAACUAUGAUGAGGAUGAGUUAUUGCGAUCUGUCCGAUUCAGUUUGAUUGUUAAUUUCAUAUACUACAGAGUCUAAUUUGUUUGGGGCCUCAAAUUAGACUACAAAGAAAUGAAAAUUUUACCUCUAAAAACUGCUCGGACAAAAGAACCACAAAUUCUUCAAAUUGAAGCAAAUGAAAACAAAUUACAAUAAUCUUUUUUGAAAAUAUUAGUUUUGGAGAAUAAUCUUUUUAUUGGUUACAUUUAGAGAAGAAUCUUUCGAUAUCGAAAUAAUUGAUUUUUAGGAAAGAAAAUAAUCGAAAUAUCACGUCCUAGACGGAAAAAGAAAUUUAAUGAAAUAUAAGAUACGUGUANNNNNNNNNNNNNNNNNNNNAAAGAAACAAAGGGACCAUGACCGUAGGAGCCGUAAUCGCACUGGCCGGAAAGGACAUGCCAGUCUACGUAAGGGUAGGUGGAUUCGAGAAGACUUUUUGGUAUGUGAUUGAGGAGAAGUCGCCGAUGGAAUCAGCCCUAUCAUCCGGCGAUGAGGUGAUUGGAUGUGAAUCCGAAACAGAUAGAGUGAGACGACUCCCUCUUCCCGAUUCAGGUUCGUCUACUAACAACCUUGCAGUUGUAAAAUCCUGUGCCUAUCUGAUUGGUGGAGAUGGGUAUACACUCAAGCAUAUGCAAGAUGAAUCUGUUGGAUUUCGUCACAUAGACUUGAGGAAUUUGGAUAUGGGAGUAGACGAAUGGCUUUUAGGAGGUGGGAAACUUUUUGACGGUCAAUUUGGGGGAGGAGUAGCUCUUGGCCAUGAUGGUUAUGCUUAUUGUGUUGGACCUACAGUCUACCGAUUCCGUCCCGGAGUAGACAGAACAUUGGAGAAGUUGCCGGUACCGCCACAAGGUCCCAACCCCUGUCGCUAUGGAUUAUUACAUAGGCUACGUCUUCUUGGUCUUACUAAGGAAAAACUGUACGUCUACUUCAGGCAAGAUGACAAUGGUACCAAUGUCAUGCUCUCGUUUGAUUUGGAGUCAAGAAAGUGGGACGAGGAUGUGCUUGAUGACAACUUCUUGGGUACUUGGUCUCCUGGCGCGGUGCUCUUCCAGGAUCGCUACUUGUUUUCUUUUGGCACCAGGAGUCCAAAACGCAAACCAAAAACACCAGAAGAAGAAGAAGCCAUUACAAUAAGGAGGAGGAGGGUUCAGGAGAUUGAUGAGGGGUGGGGUUAUGUGGAGGAGGAUGAGCUGGUUCCUGGAAUAUAUGUUUUUGAUCUUCAUGAGGGUCGAUGGCUACCAGAACCAGUUGAGGGUCUACCGACUGACGGGAAGGUGAUGCCUCAUGCUUUUCGGCCAUUACCAGAAGCACCAUUGUAUUGCGGAGAUUGGAAUCCACGGUUGUUCCAGAUCAGAAAGGACGAGGACGACCACCGCUUGGCUUUGUUGUGGGAUGCUGUUGGCAAUAUUGACGACUGUAAACUUAUUUGGUGUAAGUUCAUGAUCAAUAGAUGUGAUACUAGUACUGAAGAUAACCCCCGCUUCUCUGCCAUUUCGCUGUCACCAGGAUUCUGUCCGCUUGAUGAGGACACCUUCCAGAUCUUCAAUUCUGCUGUAGGGAUGUAAGCGCAACAUGUACUACUAAUUUGUUUAGGGCUUUUUCCAAGAAUAAUAUUUAUCUAUUUCCAGUUAUGCACAUCUGAUGUGCGUUGGUGAUCUACUAUUUGAAAGAAGUGCAUUUUGCCUUGAUCAUAUUUAUCGUUUCGUUUUCCAAAAUCCCCCUAUUUUGCAUCUCUGCAUACUGGAUCUCGAUCUUGUUCAGUUGCUCUUGUUGUGAUCGCUACUUUUGAAAAUCAUGGUAUCCAUCUUUCUCUUUCAAGUUUGAAGAAUCUAGUUCGAUAAACUACACGGAGAGUUGAUACACAUGUGCAUCACUCUGCUUGCAUGAACCAGAAGCGUCUUCUGAACUUUAUCAAGUCAAAGCUUAAAAAGAACCUGAUGAGGUAGAAAACUAUGUUCCUUUCAGUUUGUUUCAGUGAGCUUGAUAUUGUUACAGAUUCAAUCUUUUCAUAUCUCUGUGACUGUUGAAGUUUCUAACUACUAACUAUGAGAAUCAACUUGGAUUGCCAGGUAGUCAUAUUCAGAGAUGGAAAAUAUCUUACACUUCAGGAAGUUUUUAAGAGUUUGGACUUGACAGGGUAAAUAUUGCUCUUCCUGAAACUGUUUAUCUAUGAAUAAUUAAAGCUCUCUCUCAUGCACAUUGCUUUUUCCUUAUUUUAGGUAUGAUCUGAAUGUUGACUUAUUGGAUGUUCAUGCGGAUAAGACUACUUUUCAUCGAUAUGACAAGUUCAAACUAAAGCAUAAUCCGUGUGGCCAGAGCAGACUCAGAGAGAUAUUCUUGAAGCAAGACAAUCUAAUCCAAGGUAUGAUCAUUUUGAAAGUUAAACUGUUAAGAUCAGGAUAUCAUACUUGUGCAUAUUCUUGUUGGGUCUUGGUUGAUUUACCUUUGAUAAUCAAUUAUUAUCUUAUAUAGAUUGAAGUGCAUAGCAUUUCAAUCUCUUCAGCUGGACUUGUCUUGUAAAGUUACUGUUUUAUUUAUGUGUACAAUUGCAGGACGAUUUUUAGCAGAAGUAACAAAGGAAGUUUUGAAAGAUCUCGAAGCCAUGAAAUACCAGGUUUUCCUCUUUAACAUUUUAUAGGAAGAUUUGCUUGCAUUGAUCAUUUAUGCAUGUCUGAUAAUGAAUUUCUCUUUUUGCAGAUGGCAGAGUACAGGAUUUCAGUUUAUGGGAGAAAACAAAGUGAGUGGGAUCAACUGGCUAGUUGGUUUGUUAACAAUGACAUUUACAGCGAGAAUGUAGUAUGGUUAAUACAGGUAUAUUAAUGCUCUUUUAUUUUUGUUCUGGUAGCUGUUCUAUUCUUGGUAGUCAAUGUCUAUCUUCAUUGCUGAGAUCUUCUAUUUGUGACAUUGUUGUUGUACUUGGGAGUUGGUUGGAUUGGUGUAAUGUAUUGCAAACAAUUUUUUUUCCUAGCAUAUAGAACCGGACCUUAUUUAAGUAUAAUGUUUGAGUUUAUAUUGUAUGAACACAUUCCAGGAGAGGUAACAGUAAGGUUGUUUUAUAUUGUGCUUAUAUCAUGUUAGACAUCAGCCAUAAAUCUGUAGUUCUUUCUUUGUUACUCAUGCAUGGGAUUGCAUGAUAUUGUGUUUUUCUUUUUGCAGAUGGCAGAGUACAUGAUUUCAGUUUAUGGGAGAAAACAAAGUGAGUGGGAUCAACUGGCUAGUUGGUUUGUUAACAAUGACAUUUACAGCGAGAAUGUAGUAUGGUUAAUACAGGUAUAUUAAUGCUCUUUUAGUCUUGUUCUGGUAGCUGUCCUAUUCUUGGUAGUCAAUGUCUAUCUUCAUUGCUGAGAUCUUCUAUUUGUGACAUUGUUUUUGUACUUGGGAGUUGGUUGGAUUGGUGUAACAUAUUGCAAACAAUUUUUUUUUCCAGCAUAUAGAACCGGACCUUAUUUAAGUAUAAUGUUUGAGUUUAUAUUGUAUAAACACAUUCCAGGAGAGGAAACAGUAAGGUUGUUUUAUAUUGUGCUUAUAUCAUGUUAGACAUCAGCCAUAAAUCUGUAGUUGUUGAUAUUUGUAGACUGAUGAGCAUAUUUAAUAGGCUAAUUGUUUUGUGUUGAUGUGUCAUAGGUUUGUGUAGAUAGACUUACUUGGACAUAGCCUCUAUCUCUGUCAUCCCAAGAAUUACUGGUUGACAGGUACUUAAAAUGUCUGUUCUUCCAUUCCAUUUUAUUUGAUAUUCUGGUUACUCAUUGAUUCCAUAUUUUGGCCAAACCUUUUCAAAAAAUGGCGGUAGCCAACAAUCUUCUACAUGCAAAUUUGGCAUACUUUAGGGUUUAGCUUUGCUUCUUUUCCUUUUUUGCUCCAGAUCUAUUAUUAUUACCCUUUCUCUGCUGUUACCGACAAUGCAAAGAACUACAAUGAUCUUAGGUGGAAAUAUUAGCCUCUAGGUUUGAAACUAAAUGAUUUGAUAAAUGAGAUACGACGCCAAAGAUGUUCCUACCUUCGGUAUGUUUCUAUAUUUUUCUUUUACUUCUGGUAUAUAUACUUCUUUUUUCUCUAUAUCACUUGGGGCCAGUCAGCACCCAGGUGGAGUUUCCCUCGGGUCUUGCUAGGAUUGACAUGGUCUUAGACCUGGCAACCUGCUGCUCUUUAGUUUCUUACCAGAAAGAAUCAGACAAAUAUGUCUUGCUAUCUUUAAGACUUUAAUUGCCAUCAGGUCAGUGUUUUACAAAGCGCUUUUAUAAAACCUCUGCUUCUGGGCGACUAUUAUGUUCUAAUAACAGCAUCCAGAUGUAUCCUUUGCAUCAUAUUUGUUCCUUCAUAUUAGGUUGUCUCAGUCAGAUCUUUUUCCUUUUGCAUUUCUACGUAGCUGCCCUUGCCCAAUCAUCUCAUUUGUUGGGCAUCAAUACAUACUAAAUUAGAAAUAAAUGUGAAACUAUGACGAACUGGAUGAAUAUAACAUAGCAAAGUAACUGCAUAAUUUUUGUUCACGUAAUGUAUGCAAGGCAGAAGUGUGGUGCCUCUUUUUGUGUCAUCACUGUUAUCAGAGUACAGGAGGGUUUGUGUCUGGUCAGUGCAACAUCUGAUCUCAUAAAGUAAUUUGUAUUGGAUGUUAGUAGUUGAUGCAUUCAGUUCCUCCAUUGUGCUUAUAUCAUGUUAGACAUCAGCCAUAAAUCUGUAGUUGUUUCUUUGUUACUCAUGUAUGGAAUUGCAUGAUAUUGUGUUUUUUCUUUCAUGAUAUAUUGCAAGUAACUUUUUCCUUGAAAUCAUCGUCUUGCAUAGUUUCAUUAGCUCUUAUGGUUUUAGUUUUGACAUUUGCAGCUACCACGGUUAUACAAUAUCUACAAGAAGAUGGGGAUUGUUAUCUCUUUCCAAAACAUUUUAGAUAAUGUUUUCAUUCCCCUUUUCGAAGUCACGGUGGAUCCAAAUUCACAUCCUCAAUUACAUUUGUUCCUGAAGCAGGUCAGCUAAACAAUCUUAUAGAUCUGUUUUACGUUUUUGGUUGAGAGAAUCCUUUUAGAUCCUGUAGAUGCUUCUUAUUAUUAUGAAGAUGUGUUGGAUUUUUGAUGUCUUAACUUUUGCUAGUACAAAGUCCAUAAGUACUAUAGUCUAACAUUAACAUUCGUUUACAAACAGGUGGUGGGUUUUGACGUUGUAGACGAUGAAAGUAGACCAGAAAGGCGUCCGACGAAACACAUGCCAACACCAUCUGAAUGGACUAAUGAAUUCAAUCCUGCAUAUUCUUAUUAUGCUUAUUACUGCUACGCAAACUUGUACACUCUUUAUAAGGUUUUUCCUUUUAGAGAAUGCUCUUAUUUCCACCCUUGUCAAAACAUAUCUAGGUGAUAUAGAAAAUGAUUCUGUUCUUCUUUUCCCUUUAUUUCAGCUUCGUGAGUCAAAAGGAAUGACUACAAUAAAAUUCCGGCCGCACUGUGGAGAGGUUAUUGUCUGCAACCUAAACUCGGUUAUUACAUUUAGAUGAUUUUUAAGAUCGACAAUUUUCGUAUAUCCUAUGCAGGCAGGUGAUGUUGACCAUUUGGCUGCGGGAUUUCUUGUAUGCCAUAAUAUCUCACAUGGUAUCAAUCUUCGGUACUCUCCAGUUCUGCAAUACCUAUAUUACCUGGGGCAGGUUGAUCCCUUUUGACUUUAUUUUUAUCUUUAUGGAAGUUACCCCUUAAGUUUUCAUGUUCUUUAUAUGCUAUUGAACCUUUCCGACUUGUGCUUUAUUGUUAACAAAAUCAUUAUUAACCUCCUUUGCAAUGCAGGUGGGACUGCUUAUGUCACCCUUGAGCAAUAAUUCUCUUUUCUUGGAUUACAAGAAAAACCCGUUCCCUGUGUUCUUUCAACGUGGGCUAAAUGUGUCACUUUCAAGUGAUGAUCCUUUGCUAAUUCAUUUGACAAAAGAAGCGCUGGUGGAAGAAUAUAGCGUUGCAGCACAGGUUUGUCGAUUCACGAUUCUUGUAGCUUUAUAGGUGCUGUUCAUGGUUGGGUAUCUUAUCAAAUCAAGUAUGGUGCAGGUGUGGAAGCUCAGUGCUUGUGACCUCUGCGAGAUUGCUAGAAAUUCUGUAUAUCAUUCUGGAUUUUCACAUGCAGCAAAGGUGGGAAACUUGCAGAAAGAAAAUUCUUUAGUUUUCUUCCUAAUAAAAAUAUGCACCUAAAUGAUCCAUCCUAUAGAAUCAUCAUGGAAAUAAAAGUCCAAUUUCAUAUAUGAUCUUGAAAUCUGUAUGAUCCAACUUUACCACAAGGUGAUUGAUUGCAUAAUUCAACUCCUUUUCCUUGUUCGUGCAGACACAUUGGCUUGGUAGCAAGUAUUUCUUGAGAGGCCCUAAAGGAAAUGAUAUCCAAAAGACAAACGUUCCCAAUUUGAGGAUUGCCUUUCGAGAAACGUCAAGUGUUUAUGAUUUUUAAGCAGCUUUGGAAGAGGUUAAUUAACAGGGUGCCCCUCUUGUCCCGGUUUUCUAAUUGUGUGCUUGGUUUUGCAGACGUGGAAGGAGGAGAUGCAGUAUAUCUAUCACUGAGAAGCGGAGUUUCCAGAAGAAGUUGAUCCAUGAAGCAAAGGGAAAUAUGCUGCUGUAUCAUGUUCUUCUAAAUACAAGUAUAGAUUGGAAGCUUUGGCGGCAGUUACAUAGGUCUAAGCUGAAGGAGCAUAUGAAAUAUUGUGUGGAUCACCCCGUGGUGAUCCGCAAACUUGCUAAAGUAAAAGCUGAAGUUUUGGGAUCAAUUUGGUAUCAUGUGUGUUGACAUUUGAUGGUGUUCCACUACAUUAAAACACUAUUACAAAGUAAAAGCUGGAGUUUUGGGAUCAAUUUGGUGUCAUGUGUGUUGACAUGUGAUGGUGCCACUACAAUAAAGCACUAUUACAAACCAGACUUUAAGAACUCAACACGAAGAAGCAAAUUCCAUAACACGAAGAAACAAAUCCGUUUCAGAAAGAAAAAAAAACAAAGGGAACAAACUCCAUACAAAAAGAAUUAAAGAACAGUCGUACAGGAGAAAUAUACGAAAGAUACGAAAGGCAAUCCUAUAAUCGUCCGGUUAAUAUAUCGCCAAUGGGGAACUUGGAAUGGGAGUAGCCACCAAACACCACGGCAAUGUAGAAGGCUUCGUAGAUUCGUUCAAUCAAAGAGGGAAAUCGUAUAUAUAAUUCAAUAAGAAUAUUACUUGCCUCCAUCUGGUAAGCCAUGCACCUUGUUAUAGUUCUGUGCCUCCAUAUGCCGGUGUCUAACGUAAUUGUGUGCGAAGAUCACAAUGGAUGCCGGAGAUUGGACUAUUGUAUUGGUAUGUGGGUCGUACACUUCCCUGUAGAUUCCUUUACUAGAACCAAAUAGGCACACUUCGUUGAGAGCAAGGGCUCCGUGAGUCAAUUCUGCUGACCAAUUCCAAUAGUGCUGACCUAGAGAUGCUUCAAAUUUUGGAGAGUUCAACAGAUUGUACUGGGAUUGCGAGUCAGCGGUUGUGCAUAGCUGAUAUAUAUUCGCUAGAAAUCAAAGUUUGUUGUUGCUAUCCCAGAAGCUUGGAUAGUAAAAGACAAACUUUAGGUGGUCGCCAGUAUAAUCAUGAGGAAGGAAAGGUGGUGCCGUGGUGAAGUAUCUGCACAACUCUUGGACAGAAAAGACCACCAAUUCUCAACAUGCUUCUGUGAGUCCUCGUCCCGCAACUUAACUUUUCCAAGAAUGUCAUCACGCAAGGCUUUGGCAUCACUUUGGUAUACGAGUGGUCCUGUUUCACGCCCCAAAUUUAAAAAGAGAGGCUGAAAAUCAGUAGUCACUCCUAUACCUUGAAACAAAUUGCCAUGGGGCCGGUCAACUUCUACCAAAUAUGUCAUGUGUUGCCCAACUUUGCUCAAGAUGUUCCACAUUGCUUCAUCCGUAACUUGUCCCUUGGUAUGUUCAUCCAUCCACACCUUGAUGUGUCUGAUGACCUUUGGAAAAAUCAGCCAGUAUGUUCCUCCCUGUAUCUUCCUACAACGCUGUGGAUGUAUGAAAACUUUUUCAUCGUGCCUCGUUUGAGUGUCCCAAUGUCUUGUAGCUUCAGCAUCGCUGUUGCACACUUGUACAGUUGCAAUACUGUACUUCUCGAUAAAGUCUUGACGUUUGAUGUAUAUGAGAUAUUCGAAACUUUCAAGAGAUCGUUGAGGCCUAACAGGUUCACGGUAAAAAACUUCCCUCCUUCCCUCCUCUUCUAGCCUUGAUUCAAGCCUUGAUGAAGGAUUCGAAACCAUUAUACCUUUUGGGUUAUGAUCAAAACUCGUAUGCUGUUCUGCGGCUUCGAUUUGGGGUUUAAAUAAGAGAGGGACACCGACAAUAUAUAUCUCCUUGUGCAAAUAGGGAUAUGUUCUUGCCUUAGGGUUUCUAACAGCUUUUUGGGCUUCUUUUUUGGUACAAAUACGGGCCCAAGGCCUAAUUGGGGUACCUUACGCAUCCGAGCCUAAAAGAUGUAUUUUUUCAGUGCAAUGUACAAUUGACAAUUCCCAAUAAAAUUGGGUACAGAAUUCCUUGUGAAACGAGGAACUAGGCCAAGACCUUCCAAAAUUUAACAAAAUACUCAAAAGAAAAUAAAAAUACAUUGUCCAUAAUUUUCCAUAAUUUUAAAGUUGCAUCUUGGUCUACUUCUUCCUCUCUCCGAGUUGAUGAUCGAAAAAGUCAUCAACAUACGAAAAUAACAGAAUACGAAGCACAACUUCAACAACGAGUUCUUUAACUAGGCUCAACCAACAGACCGGCUAGGAUUUAUUAUACUGUACUGCAGCUUUAUGAUUUGUUAUACUUCACAUCUUUCUUCUUUCUAUGCAUUAGUCCUCCUAGUGACAAAGCACUGUUUCACAGAUCACAAUUUGAUAACAGCAUACCAAUGUAUCAAAUGCACCAAGCAUAGAAAAUUGUUUUCUUACCAAAGCUAACAGCUGAUUUACUUAGACAGGAGAGGAAAAAAGACUGAAAGAAAAUUGUUGUACUUCUUUUGUUUUUGAUAUAUCACAAGUAACAGUUGAUUUGCAUAUAUCCAUUUAGAGCCCCAGACAACAUUUAGAUGGUAAAAAGCAAACAAUGUCUACGACAGACUUCUCACAAUUAUCCUUACCAAUAAAUAUCAAAGCUGGUAACAGAGGGAUUGGUUUCACCUUUAUGGGCCGCUUUUGAUUAUCUUUCACAAAUUGAAGAACAAGAUUUGAUACAACUUUGCAGUUCCUUUCCUUCAAAACUACAAAGUAGCUUGGAUUGGGAAAAUGCGAUUACACCAACUGCACCAAAGAACUGUAAAUUGUUAAUACUGUUUAUAGUACAUACCCAAAACUUACAAAGCAAGCAGACUUGUUAUACCCAAAAACUGGACCCCUUCUGCUAUACUCUUUAAUUAAUGAAUGCUAACUUGAGCUAGGAGAUAAUAGGAAGUAUGUUUGAAAGGUCAGUUCAAAUACAAUUAAGGCUUAGCCUCCGCUCCUCUCUCUUUAGUACUUGGUAUAAUUUUGAAGUUGCAUCUUGGUCUACUUCUUCCUCUCUUCAAGUUGAUAAUCAGAAAAGCCAUCAACAUACGAAAAUAACAGAAUACGAUGCACAACUUCAACAACGAGUUAGGCUCAACCAACAGACUGGCUAGGAUUUAUUAUACCGUACUGCAGCUUUAUGAUUUGUUAUAGCUCUCGUAUCUUUCUUCUUUUUAUGCAUUAGUCCUCCUGUUGACAGAGCACUAGAAAAGCAACCGACUUUGAAUGCAGCUCGGUAAAUGCAGGUAUAGCUAAUCUAAAAAUACAACAUACAUGAAGCUUAAUACUUUAUAACAAAUUCUAGAAACUACACGCAUAAACUGUCUCUAUAAAAAAGCAUGUGACCGAAAAACAGCCAAAUUAUAUACUCACAGGAGUGAAGCAGAGCUCCCUGAUUCCCCAGACUGAACAAUCCUCAAAACAAUCCCAACGACAUCAGGAGAAACACUUUUGCCGAAAACGAAGAGAAGCAAACCACUCUUUGUCAGCUUAACCAGCUUAAGAAGAGGACCUGUCUCUCCAUCUGUAUUCACCUUCACAGUAGAGCAAGCACCUUCUUCCACAUCACCUGUCACAACCUGUCACAGUGAUCACAAACAAUUCCCAUCACAACAAAAACCGAAAAGCAUAAAAACAACUGCAACUCUGCCAACUCAUACCUUCACUACCGUUACCGCAAUCACCAUCCACAUUUUCCUCCGAAAUCUUCCUUCUUUUAGAAACCGAAUUUUCUUCAUUACCGCUAUUAUUACUGAAUGUACUGUAGUAAAUAAAGAAACAGAAGAACAUUUUAACCAUUCAUGGCUAAGAAGGUUAAUACAGCGAUUACAUUACAGAAUCGGAGAUUGCUUUUACCUUUGCGUAGAGGGAGAUUGCUUCUUUAGUGGCGCUUUUCUCGCGCUUUGGAAAACGAAAAGAACGGCGAUAGAUUAGGAUUUAGGGUUUUAGAAGUAUCAAAAAAUGAAGCAAGAGAUUAGAAGGAGGAGAGAGAUGGUUACAGACUGAUGGGGCAGGUGAUGAGGAAGCCGGAGUGGGAGUGGUGAAGAAGAGAAGAAGGGGCGUCGUAGUCGAAGCGAGGGAUGCUGAUGACGGCAGAGUACUGCUCCCAUGGCGUCAUCUCCUUCUUCUCGCUCAGCUCACAUUCGCCGCCCGCCACCGCCUUUCGAUUUCACUGACAACGGAACACUACUGUGUUGGACUAGAGUGGAAGUAUAAACAGCUUUGUGGGCUUGUUUUUGUCCAAAUGGGGGCCCAAGGUCUGGGUUUUUUUUUUGGGCUUUAAACUAAAUCUUUAGAAAAAUUGUGUGAAAAUAAACGGAUUUAGCUUCUCUGCUUGGAGAAAGCAUUGCUUGGAUCUGCUUGGGUUUUACUGUUAUGCUGACACGUCAUCUAAUACAAAUCCAAGGGUUAAAAUUCAUCUGUCCAGAAAUGCAAACUUCCAUGUGCAGCACCGGAUCUCUCUCCACAUAUCCCAUCCGUUCUUGUCUUCUUCUUCUUCUUCUUCUUCUUCUUCUUCUUCUUCUUCUCUCUCUCUCUCUCUCUCCUCUCACAUCUCAUCCCAUACCAUACCAUCCCGCAUGAACUAACAAACAAGAAUUCAUGAAUGCCCAACAGAAAUCUAAAGCUUGUUCCUUUUGAACUAAAAAUGAAUCAUUUUGAGAGAAAUCAAAGUCCCAAGAUAAAAAACAUAAUUAGAAUUGGUACACAAGGAUCCUUAAAGCUUGGAGUAUAAUUACGAACCCAAAAGCUUUAACCAUCACAAAAUCAAGGUAACACUUUAAUCCUCUCUCACCCCUAAAUUUUAGAGUCCCACUCCAAUUCUCUAAUUUGAAGAAUUAGAACACAAUAAAGCUAACACAAUUAGAACAAAAGACCCAGAACUAAAAAUCAAAUACCCAGAAACCAAAACCAAUGAAUCAAUCAAAUCACCUCCUCCACCUCCGAUUGGUGGUGUUUUAGCUCAGCGGCACGACCUCCUGCGCGCAGCGGAGUCGAAAGUGGAGUCGGAAUCGACGAGUUCAGAUAGGCGAGGCAGAGACGGUGUUGCUCGACUUGCCCUCUUGCCGGCGUCGUACAAUCACCACCUCCACAUCUGCAGAUGGACUCGACGGGAGAGACGGAGUAUGAUGUGUUAUGUUUGAUGUAAAUUUGCGUUUUUAGAGUUAUUUGAUCAUUGUCCGUUGAAUUGCUAAGAAAUGACGUGUCAGCCUAGAGUCAUGUCCAAGCAGAUCCAAGCAAUACUUGUCCAAGCAGACAAGCCGGAUCCAAAAUAAACAUAUUUGAAAAAUCUUAUAAAAAAUCUGAGUCGAGAUUUUUGAGUUUUGUCAAUUCGAGUGGUCUUCAAAAUAUAUGAUUUGAGUGAGAAAAUAUUUGUUGAAUAAUAAGAACAUGCGAUUUUGGCCAAAAACCCUCAAUUUUGAUUGGAAAAUGAAGUUUCUAAUUUUAUUUGUUAAGUUAUAAACUGGUAGACUUUAUUCAGGACGGCUCUUGGAAUAUAGAUAAACUUUAUUCUGUUCUUGACAAAGAUAUUACUGAUGACAUUUCUGCUAUUAAUAUCCCUUUGAAUGAUUAUGAUGACGAAUUUAUUUGGGGUCCUACUCCAAAUGGAACAUUUUCUAUUACGUCUGCUACUCAUGUGCAAUAUAAAUUGCCUGCUCAUUCUAAGGCAGAUUUGUUGAAAAAGAUCUGGAAGUUGAAUAUUCCCCUAAAAACUAAGAUUUUUUUCUUGGUUGCUAAUUAGGGGCAGAUUAAAAACAAGAGCUUUUUUAGCUCGUUUUAUGAAUACGAUUGAUAGCUCUUGUGCUCCUUUUGGUUCAAGAGUUGGAGUUGAGGACCUCAAUCAUUUGUUCUCUUCCUGCACGAUGGCCACUGCUGUGUGGGAUAUGGUCAACCACUUGCCUAACCCAUCCUCCUCCUCCAAUUGUGAGGAUUGACUGGUCUCUAUUUAUCAGAAUGGUCAACCUCUUACUAUUGAAGACAACUUGUUAGUGUGUUGGCAGAUUUGGAAGGCGAGAAACAAUGUUAUUUUCCGGUCUGCUCAAGUUAAUCCUUCAGUUAUUGUGCAUGCUGCAGCUACUACAGGCUCUGCAUAUCGUCUCAUCAACAUAAAGAUUUCCUCCAGCUCUCCUAGAAAUCUGGAGACCAUUAGAUGGAUUCCCCAGCUCCUAAGAUUUGGAAGGCGAGAAACAAUGUUAUUUUCCGGUCUGCUCAAGUUAAUCCUUCAGCUUUGUGCAUGCUGCAGCUACUACAGGCUUUGCAUAUCGUCUCAUCAACAGAAAGAUUUCCUCCAGCUCUCCUAGAAAUCUGGAGACCAUUAGAUGGAUUCCCCAGCUCCUAAUUGAUUCAAGCUAAACUUUGACCGCUCAGUAACAUCUAAUUCAUCAGUUGUUGGUUUCUUCAUUAGAGACUUUGCUGGCUCUCCCAUUGUGUCAGACGCGCGGAAGCUUCACAAUUCUUAUGUUCCGUUGGCUGAAUGCAUAGAUUUAAAAGGACUUUUUGCUGCUAAAAGAUGCAACUGUAACCAAAUCGAAGUAGAACUUAGCCUCAAAGUAGGCACAUUUCAUGAAGCCAACUUCAAAUGAAUAGAAUGAGCUUGUAUCAACCACUUACUGGUCUUUUAUGAUGGAACAUUGAUGUAUGAUAUUGUGGUAGUGGAAUUGAACCAACUCCUUCAUGAGAAACUUCCAAGAAGCCAAGAAACCAACUCCACAAAAAGCUUUGUGAAAUUUUGUCGCUCAGGAUGCCAACUUUAGGCACGAUUUGCGCCAUGCUCCGUUGAUGUUUCUGAUCAGUUUCUUGACCUGGGAAUGUAGUACAAUAUAUGUACUUGAAUAUAUGGUAGAGCGAACAGCAAAAAGAACCUUGGAAGAUGGCGUGAAUUGUCUCACAAACCAAGAAAGCCAUUUUCUGAAAUUUCCAGCUUUUGCUUAUUACUUGGCUGACUUCUUGAACUUGUAUCUUGAUCGUUCCAUGGCCUCUGGAUGAUUCUUGAACUCAAAAUGCUCUAUGAAAUCACAUGUUGAUUUAUAAUUCAGUACCUCAGCGAUAGGUGCACGUUAAGACAAAGAAGUAAAGCCACAAAACUCAAUGUAGUUAAGUUUCUGGAAAAAAGGCUGUUUUAAGGUGUCGACUUCUGGAGCUCAUAACUCAUGCUUCAAAGCAGCGAAUGGCAUGAUUAUUUUUCAGAUUUGCAGUCCAAUAUCAUGGAUCAAAAAUAGUGUAGGGAGAACAGACAUUGAACCCUUUCAAGGAAGCGCGAAUGAGCCACGAAAAUGCCUCAGAGGAAGCCAACUUUGAAAAUUUCCAGAUUUCCUCAUUGAAGGGACCGACUUGCAUGAUGAAUUCCAUGACCUUCCCUUAUGACUUCUGAGCAAUAUAGCAGCUGAAACUGAACCUUGUCAUCAGUAGAACGUAUUUUGAAGCCAUGGAUGCUUGAUUUAGACUUCCAGAAAGCUCGGUAAAGUGUCCUCAAGAACCAGUGUCUCCUGACAACUGUUGCCGCUAAUAAGCCUAAGAGGCAAGUCGAAUGUCCCGGAAAACAUGAGAUAAAGAUUAAAACCGCAGACGCACCCGGGUGCGCGGCGCACCCGUCAUCUCCACCGUUUAAUUUUUUUUUUUUUUUGGUCGGGUCAAAAUGAACGGUGGAUACACCCGGGUGCGCUGUAUAAUUUUCAAAGAAUGAAAAGAUAAUUCAAAACUCGAAAAGUUUCGAAAAUUUUGCCACAGGAAUUGGCAGAAUGUGUAUAGUGUAGCCCCCCAGUUUAAUUGGGUAUGGCGAAUGUAAACCACAAACUGGUUAACUGUUGGAAUGAGCGUAAGCCGAUUAAACUCGAUCUUUGAGCCUCAGAUUGCCUUCUCUUUGUAGCACCUGUUGUAAUUGAGCUGAUUGUGUAGAGUUGAACUGACAUCCUUGUAUGCUUGCAUUAAUUUGGCUCCAUGAUACUACAAGCUCCUUGUGGUGAUCAAACACAAUAAGACUUGUGUUGUCGCUUUGAACGUUUCGCCAAAGAUGUACUCUUCUUGAACUGUCGUCAACUCUGUCGUUGUGGUAGCUCCAAAACUCAUUGUGCUCUCUAAGAACAACUCAAAAAGUUGUUUGUAAUAGGCGUGCAUAAGUUUGGAUAUGAUUCGCAGCUUUGUAGCCCCCCAGUAUGAACAAUGACGAGAAACUGACGAAACUACUGACAUUGUAGAAUUCCAAAAACCACUGACUGGUGUUGAUUGUCUGACAUUGCAACCGAGGAUGAUUUGAUAUCCGACAGAACUCCAUAAGAAUCACACCAACCUUCCUUGUGGUCGAGUAUCCUUGACAACUGGUUCCUUAACUAUCACUAGGUUGUUCAUCAUCAGUAUCAUUGCUUUCCACUUCAGUGCUCUUCUUAUGCCCAGCAACUAACAACGACAAUUAGACAAUAAUCAUCAAACAUGACGCAUAAAUAUGGAUCAAAUCAUGUUAACAACACACAUACAGCAAAAUAAAGCUUCAUGUGGAAGCCGGCUUUCAAAAAUAAAAAGUGACAGCUUAGCAUUCAUAAAGUUGUAGACUUGGGUACAAAUACAAUUCAUUACUGAGCUUUACAUAUGAACGGAAUUGCAAACUUUCAAUCCCAAUUCCACAUUUUGCUGACGAACAAUAAAUCAAGCCACGCAAAAACAAAAAAUUAAACAACUGGAAACUUGGCAAUUGAAGAUGUAGAUCGAGCUUAAUAACGGAAAUCUAACAGCUCAAAUUAGACUACAGAGAAAUGCGAAUUUUACCUCUGAAAGUUUUCCUUCUUGUAAAAGUUGCUCGUGCCUAGACAAAAGAACCACAAAUUCUUCAAAUUGAAGCAAAUGAAAACAAAUUAGAAUAAUAUUUUUUUUAAAUGUUUGUUUUGAAGAAUAAUCUAUUUAGGGCCUUUUUAUUGGUUACAUUUAGAGAAGUAUUUUUUUUUUUGUUCCUUAUUUAGAGAAGUAUCUUUUGAUAUCGAAAUAAUCGAUUUUUAGGAAAGGAUCGGAAAUAAUCGAAAUAUCACCUCCUUGACGGAAAAAGAAAAUUUAAUGAAAUCUAAGAUACGUGUAUAUCUUUCUUACCGAAAAAAAUAAAAAAUAAAAAAUUCUCCAAUCCAAAAGAAAACGGGAUAAAGACUAGGCCCCAAAUCCCUAUAAAAGAGAGUAGGAUGAGGCUUGGUGAGUGAAGCGGGAUUUGCUCGCAAUGAGGCUUUGGUGGUGCUCCUUGGAGAGGCUUUUUUGGUAAAUUAGGUGCUCCUAGGGAGGCGUCCAAUUUGCAGUGAUGCAGAAUUUUGUUGAAUUGUCGGGGUUUAUUCUCAUUCACCUUGACCUCCUUAUAUGAAAUUGGGUGGCUAGGGUUUGCGAAUGACUUGUCUCUGAAACAAUCGAAUAUCUAAUUGAAUCUAGAAAUAUAUUUUCCUAACCGAGCCCUCUGACACAAUAUCUUUGAGAUAUCCUACAAAUCUUCCGCCAAUAAUUACCCAAUGGAAAAGAAAUAUAUCUACUGAAUUGAACCGCAGGUAUCGCUUCGCAUAUCAGACUAGAUACGAAGUCUAGGUAAAGAUAUUUACCUCAAUACAUAAUUCUUGAAGAUUUUCUCGAUGUCAUCUUCUACGCAAAGAGAUUGCUUUAUGACUCUUCCAACUCGGACGUGCAUGUAUAUCACCUUUAUGCAUUCAAGCGCAAUUAAGGAAUAUAAUCCUCAUAUGACCAAAGAUCAUGCACGUAUUAGGCUUCUCUUGAGAAACAAAGAAUCAAGGAUGAUUAACUUCCUUCUUAGAUAAAACCAUAUAUCUUCCUUAAUCACAAAGGUAACAAAACCUUCCUUACUAGCAUAGCACACGUCUAAGACUCCUUGAAUGCAAAUCCUUUAUUCUAACUCAAUCUUGGUAACCAAACAAUCCUCCAUUAACUACCCCGGAUCCGUGAUAUAUCGAUAAUAUCCCAUAUUUACACCAAAAUGGCUUGAUCUCCAAGUAGGCUUGGUUUAGCCUCAAUAACGAAUAUCUUCAAAGAUACUCAAUCAUAUCCACGACGAACCACAUAACUUGUUCGAUACGCUACAAAUCUAGGGGGUGUAAAUUUACCCUCAAACAGGUCGAGUAUCCUUGACAACUGGUUCCUUAACUAUCAGUAGGUUGUUCAUCAAUCAUCAUCAGUAUCAUUGCUUUCCACUUCAGUGCUCUUCUUAUGCCCAGCAACUAUAAAACACAACGACAAUUAGACAUCGUCAAACAUGACGCAUAAAUACGGAUCAAAUCAUGUUAAUUAACAACACACAUACAGCAAAAUAAAGCUUCAUGUGGAAGCCGGCUUUCAAAAAAAAAAAGUGACAGCUGUUUUAGCAUUCAUAAAGUUGUAGACUUGGGUACAAAUACAAUUCAUUACUGAGCUUUACAUAUGAACGGAAUUGCAAACUUUCAAUCCUAAUUCCACAUUUUGCUGAUGAACAAUAAAUCAAGCCAUGCAAAAACCAAAAAUUAAACGACUGGAAACUUGGCAAUUGAAAUUCUAACAGCUCAAAUUAGACUAUAGAGAAAUGCGAAUUUUACCUCUGAAAGUUUUCCUUGUUGUAAAAGCUGCUCGUACCUGGACAAAAGAACACACAAAUUUUUCAUAUUGAAGCAAAUGAAAACAAAUUAGAAUAAUCAUUUUUGAAAAUGUUAGUUCGGGAGAAUAAUCUGUUUAUUGGUUAGAUUUGGAGAAGAAUCUUUUCAAUAUCGAAAUAAUUGAUUUUUAGGAAAGGAAAUAAUCGAAAUAUCACGUCCGAGAGGGAAAAAGAAAUUUUGAUGAAAUAUAAGAUACUUGUAUAUCUUCCUUAAACAAAAAAAAACAAAAAAAAAUAAAAAUAAAAAAAUUCUCCAAAUUGAGUCCAAAAGAAAACGGGAUAAGGAAUAAGAAAAGGAAUAGGAAUAAGAUUGCCCCCAAAUCCCUAUAAAAGAGAGUAGGAUGAAUCCCUAACGCCUCCAUCUAUCUCUCAGAGAAAACAAAAGCCUCCAUCUCUCAGAAAAGAAGAAAACAAAAUACUUACGUUAGAAGAAUCAAAGGGACCAUGACUAUAGGCGCAGUCGCACUGGCUGGAGAAAGCCUAAAGGACAGGCUAAUCUACGUAAGGGUAGCAGGAUUCUUGAAGGAUUUUUGGUAUGUGAUUGAGGAGAAGUCGCUGAUGGAAUCAGCCCUAUCAUCUGCCAAUGAGGUGAUUGGAUGUGAAUCUGAAACAGAUAGAGUCAGACGACUCCCUCUUCCCGAUUCAUUUUCGCCUACUAACAACCUUGCUGUUGUAAAUUCCUGUGCGUAUCUGAUUGGUGGAGAUGGGUAUACACUCAAGCAUAUGCAAGAUGAAUCUGUUGGAUUUCGUCACAUAGACUUGAGUAAUUUGGAUAUGGGAGUAGACGAAUGGCUCUUAGGAGGUGGGAAACUUGUAGACGCUCAAUUUGGGGGAGGAGUAGCUCUUGGCCAUGAUGGUUAUGCUUAUUGUGUUGGACCUACAGUCUACCGAUUCCGUCCCGGAGUAGACAUGACAUUGGAGAAGUUGCCGGUACCGCCACAAGGUGCCAACCCCAGGCCCAAGGGAUUAUUACAUAGGCUACGUCUUCUUGGUCUUACUAAGAAAAACUAUACGUCUACUCUUUACGGGGUGGAGCCUACCAUCCCCAUGUCAUGCUCUCGUAUGAUUUGGAGUCACAAAAGUGGGACGAGGAUGCGCUUGAUGACAACUUGUGGGGUAAUUGGUCUCCUGGCGCGGUGCUCUUCAACGAUCGCUACUUGUUUUCUUUUGGCACCAGGAGUCCAAAACGGAAACCAAAACCGGGAGAAGAAGAAGAAGCCAAGAUAAUAGGGUGGAGGGAGGUUGUACUGCGGGAUGAGGUGGUUCCUGGAAUAUAUGUUUUUGAUAUUGAAAAGGGUCAAUGGCUCCCAGAACCAGUUAAGGGUCUCCCGAAUGACGGGAAGGUGAUGCCUCAUGCUUAUCGGCCAUUACCAGGAGCAUCAGUUGAUUGCCGAGAUUGGUUUCCACGGUUGUUCCAGAUCAGGAAGGACGAGGACGACCACCGCUUGGCUUUGCUGUGGGAUAUUGGCAUGACUAACAUCUGUAAACUUAUUUGGUGUAAGUUCACGAUCAAAAUAUGUGAUACUAGUACUAGUAAUAACCCCCGCUUCUCUGCUAAUUCGCUGUCACGAGGAUUCUGUCCGCUUGAUGAGACCACCUUCCAGGUCAUCAAUUCUGCUG